rnacentral:lncRNA from 1 species
GGGAUUUGCGCUCUUAUUCAAGGAAAGGAGAGAUUGUAGGCAAAUUUGUAUAUUGAUAGUUUUCCUAUUUUUUGGGUUUGCUUGUUUCCUUUGUUGUAGCAACUUUGUGUACAAAUUGUAGAAGAAUGUCAUGACAAAAAAAUAAGAGAGUUGAGAGUUUUGUCCAAGGACAUAGGCACAUUACUAAAUCUCGUAAUCCUUGUGUUCUUUAUUGUGAUUGACUUACUAAAAUUCAACAGGCCUCACCAGCUUGGGACUCUUGGGGACACAACAUCGCAUCACCAUGCCGUCAUUGAGGUCGCCAGGUUAGUGACGGUGGACUCGACGCCAGACAGCAAGAAGGAGAAGUGGAGGCACUAGUCCCUCAAUGCCGUGAAGCUAUGACACUUGGUCAUUGGACUGAACCUUAAAGCUCAAUGCUCUUUUUGCGACCGCUUCCCUCCUCCUCUAGAAGCAGAGCAAUGGUGGUGAUGCGAGAGGCGGGUGGUGAUGCCGAUUUACAGAGACAUUCAUAAAGCGAGGACGACGACGAUGUUUCAAAGGUUCGAAUUGGUUAAGGUCGUGGUGAGGGUCGCUUCAAAAGUGCUGGAUAAGAGAUAAGAGGUGUAUGUUUUUGAAAAAAGAUGAACGGUACAAAAUAAGAAAAAAGAAGAAAGUUUAGAAAACUAUAUUAAAAAAAAAAAGGAAACGACAUAAUUUUGCCUACAUCAAAAUACCGAUUGUCAAAUAUUUGAGAAAUAAGGUAAAUCGGCGAUGAAUAACUGUCAUCCGUCAUGUUACUAUUUUCUAAAAAACUUGACUGGAGUAUUAUAUUAAAAUUUUAUUAAAUAUUCAAGAUUACAUUGGUAAAAUUUAAAAAUUAAAAAUUAAAAUGACAUCCUUAUAAUAGCUUUAUGACUCAGAAGGUGAGAGUAAAUGAACAUAAGAGUAGCUUCUACUCUCCCUUAUGUACGAACAAGCAAUUGUCCACCUGCACACGUGAAUGUACAGAGAUGUUGCCAUUAUUGAUUAAUAAACCUCUUAACAAAGUUGGACUCAUGCUCUAGGAAAUAAGAAGCCAUUCACGGUGAACCCUCCAUCAACACAAAUGGUCUGCCCUAUUAUGUAAGAGGCCGCUGGCAAGCACAAGAAGGCCACUAAAGACGACACCUCCUCCGGCUCUCCGGUGCGGCCGAGUGGCGUCCUUGCUAUCACCUCCUCGUGGAACUUCUUGUCACUAAGUACCUGCAACGAAAUAUGAGUUAACAUCAGAUCAUGAUGGCGAACAUGGUCAAUACUGAUGUGGUGAACUAUUUUCCUGCAUGAGAGAAAAUUUAAAGCCUUGGUAGAUCAAAUUACAGGCUCGGCUAGUGGAGUCAAUAUGAACCAAGGUGCAACAGAGUCGCUUCUUAUGUUGUCCUUAGCCCAUUCGCAUGCCAAAUUCUUGGUCAACUGGUUCAUUGCUCCUGCCAAUCAAUGCGGAUAGAAAACAUAAAAACAAACGCAAUUUGUUUAGCUCCAUAUUAAUAGUGUUUAGAUAGUUACUAACGAUAAUGCUAUUACCUUUGGUGGCUGAGUAAAUUGAUCCGACGUUUAUUGAGACAACGCCACAAACGGAUGACAAGAACACAAUACUUCCAGCUCCCGAGGCCUUGAGAAGGAGAUUUAUGCACACGCAAAGUAGCCCCUGUGAAAAACAUUGCGUCUCAAUCAGCAUGUUAUUGGACAAAUUGGCCAUCUUUCUUGGUUCGACUCUUGCCAACUCAUCUUCUCAUGAAAGGCAGUACUCGCAUUAUCAAAACAUGCCAGUACCUUCUUCAGAAACACAUAGAACUCCAAAAGAAAAGUAAACCCCUCGAAUAUCUUUGCAAGUGCAUGUAGAACCAACCUUGGUAACAAGAACUUCCUUGAAGAAUUCUUCUGAAGAAAUCAUAUGAGCAAAAGAAAAAAACAUAAACUAAACCAUUCAAUCGCAGUAUACAUCUGACCAAAAAAAAUAAAAAAAAUCGCAGUAUACAAAAUAGUCAUCUUUAUCCACUCUUUCUGUAGAUGACCCAUAGCAAAAGACCUCGCAUUUCUUCUUGUCAAAUAUGUGGUUACGCCUCUUCAUCAUCCUCAACCAGAAUCCUCUUGCACGCUUCGCAGCACAUGAAGGAUAUCCCAGCAGCAGGCACCAACUUCAUGCAACUAGGGCCUAAACCUCUAUAUAGACCUCCAACCCCUUCCUGCUCAAGUAUGCUCGCAAGAGCAUGAACCACGUUUUUGUACACCUGCCUACCGCUGACUGGUCCCACUUGCAUAUGCUUCCGAGCUACCUCCAAGGGGAAAGUUGCACUACUCGAAAUAGCGCCAGCUAAUGAUCCGAUGAGAAGAGUCUCGAUGUUCCUAAUCUUCUCUUCCUUAAAAAACUUCCGAUAUUAAAAAACUUCCGAUAUGCCUUUCUCGACGUGUCGUAAGCAAAAUAGUUGGUGGCAGCAUAUGGAAUCACUCCGAUAAGACUAGGGGCGAGGCCUCUAUAUAAUUCUGCGGGUCCCUCGUCCCUCACUAUUUUCAAGAACGCAUCAAACAUACCAUCGUAAACUCCCCUCUGCAAUAUGGAAGGCUCGUGUUAACAAUGACAAGAUUCAAUCAUAUUGUUUUAGCAUGCAGCACUAUACCUGGACUGUGAGUCGAAUUUUGACCAACUCAAGAGGAUAUGUGUAUAUUGUUGAGCUCACACCAGCACAGGCACCUGCAACUAAGGAGGCAGGAAGGGGAAGCUUUGGCUGUUCCCCAGGUUUAUGCGACAACUGUUUGUUGACUGUAUCAUAAGCAAAUAGCUGCAAUACACAGGACCAAAAAUUCAAUUGAUAAUUGAAAGAUUGUAGAAGCUGGAGAGAUUAAACCUGGCAACAAGGAUACAAGGAACCAAGAGAAAUCUUGGGCAUAGUUAAAUGUCAAGUUCCUAAUAGUAGAUCUCUUCAAACUGCAUGCCUACCACAUAAUGUUUAUAUGAUUAAUUUCCAAGAAGCCCAACAAAGCAAAACUUAAGCCCACAACUAGCGGCACACUACUUUACAAGUCAAAUAAAUAUUCACAGCAGAGGAUAACAGAUUGAAGGCCAUUGUCUAGCAGUCAUGAACAAACCUUAAUGACAAUCGACAGGAACAUCAGGUAGGGAAAACCAUAAUAGAUACAUUAGCUAUUUAGAUUACAUGGAUGCCGGAUAGAUUGUAAAUAUUGUAACGUAGGAGCCAAUGCAUGUGACCUCCUGAAUGAUCAAGUCAUUGGCAAUAUUCUUAUAUACCAAGAUGAUAACAAGUUCAAUUUUCCUUCCAUGAAGGAAGAUCAAGAAUUAUAAUGGUGACUUGAGAUUCAAAAACAAAGUUCUCAGAAAAUGUGCGAACCACACUUAAAUAGCUUACUUUAAUUGAGUUCCCCAUAAGAUUUGUGAUGAUCUGCUGAAAUCUCCCCGGAUCACCAAUCAACUUCUGCGGAACAUUUUCAGAAAUGUAAACUGCUAGCUGCAGAUUUGAAGGGGUGGAAAUUAUAAGAUAAUGACUCAGGUGAAUUAGCAGCACCAUGUAACAAAGCCAGUCAAUACCUCCACUCCUUUUUCUUGAGAUUUUUCCGAGAAGAGGGACAAGACAUUAUCCAAUAUGGCCCUUAGAUCAAACUGCACAGCCUCAAUCUCAAUCUUACCAGAUUCAAUCUUCGCUUGGUCCAAGACCUCAUUUAUAAGUGAAACCAAAUUUGUGCCUUUGAAAAUGUAGGAGUCAACUUCAAUGAUAUAUCACCAUAAGAUUCUUCUUGUUGCACAUUAAUAAGUCCGUAACUCUUUAAAGCCUGUCCACAUCAUAUGAGAAGUCAUCAACUUCCCUCAGCAGCUCUUUUAACACGACCAGAAACAGGGGCGUCCACCAAUUUUAGAUCUUUUCCUUCAUCUGCAAUAUGACACAUGCAGCACAAAAUUUAGAAUAAGAAUGCUGGCAAAUAAACCCUUUAGUUUAUCGAAAUUGCUUGGACAAGUUUUGCUUCCAACAUUCCAACAGGCUUUCACUCUAGGUCACUGAACAAGAAAAGGUAUUAACCCUCCUAGCAUAAGGACAAAACAUUGAGAUUUUGCAACCUCGUUUCCAAAGAACCAAUAUACUAUUAACAUGAGGCUAAAAUUACAAUAACAGCUAUACUACACAAGUUGUAAUCAAUCAUUCCUCUUGAUCAAAUUACUUUCAAACACUAUCUUCUCCAAGAUCGCAUGUGCAAGCUCCAUACAAGAAGAUACUAUUUGAAGAACUAGAAAUGGUUCGAUCCACAUCUGCGAUAUCAUAGUUAGGACUUUCCCACAUUAGGCCUAAAUAUUUUGAUGUUGAUCCUAGAAUAUAUUCUUCAUUUUUCCAUCUUUUUCCAUCUUUCAUUGAAGUUAAAGAAGAACGAGGCAGCUCAGAUCCAAUCACCAAUAGCUUGAAAGGGAUUGUCCCAACUGCUAUUCUAACCAUUCCUCUCAUAAGGAGAUAUUCUGUUACCAGCUAUUUGAAUGCAUUUCUAACGAAGAAAAAUGAGUCAAUGAACCAAACUUGUAGUUCAGUAAAUUUCUUCUACUCUCAAUUUGCUUCACAUUUACUGGGAUUUCCCAUAUUCACCGCUUUCUUAAUCUGACAAGUCACCGUUUCCAAAGAACCAAUAUAAUAGGUUGGUUGCACACAGUGGACAGGGUGAAAACUUGGUCUAACAUUGAUAGCACCUGUGUGCUAUGCGGAAAACAUGAAGAAUCUCGAAUGUACUUGCUCUUUAAGUGUGUAUUCUUAAAGCAGAUUUUGGAAACAAGACUCUUAAUGCUGAUGUUAAGUGUCUGUGGAGAAAUUGGCGAGUUCUUGUUGGCUAGCUUUGCUGUGAUCCGGUGGCAUGGUAUUUGAGUUUGCAUCUUGUUUUUUCUGGGUAGUAUUUUGCUGUUGCUACUGGUAGUGUAGAUGGGGAAGACUAUUAUGUCAUGUUGUCAUUCGGUGCGUGGGGUCAUCAGAUUGAAAGUCAACCUGAUGAAUUAUUCUCAAGUUAUCAAGCUUUCCUAUUAUGAUAGAUUGCUCAAAGGGAUCUCCCAUCCUUUACAUCGAGCAGGGACGAAAGUUCCCCCUAGUGAUCGACAGUGCCGAGUAGACAGGCCAUUGCUCAACAGAUAAAUGUUAAUUUAGGGAUAGCAGACUAAUCUUAUCCAAAAGUUCACAAAUACAAGAAGGUUUGGCACCAUGAUCCAGCUGUAUAUGUGGGACAGUAUGCUGCAAUGGACUUGUACGGGAUGUGACCUCCCUUGUUUUUUUUUUUUUCCACAGGUUGUCCAAUAAAAUGAAGACUUACUUAAUAAAAAAAGAUAUUGUUAAAGUUUGUGCUCAAUGAAUGCGGUUCAAACAGUCAAUGACACAUGGAAAUUUUAUAAACUCUAUUCAUCUUACCAGUUUCCGAAAACCAUUCUCCAAUGAGCUUAUGCGUUGCUGCAUUGCUUUGAGAGCACUCUCCAUAUUCUCCACCGAGCUACACCAUGGAAAUUGACACCGUGAACAACUGCUGUCUUGUGGAAUUAUUCAUAACAAAUAGACAAAUAUCCAUUCGUAACACUUUAGGUACUAGUGCAUAUGAAUGUCAGAAUCAAUUACCAGACUAAUCAGAUGCAUUCCCUUGAUCUAACGCGACAUAGAAAAGUCAACGUAAAGCUGGAAUACAUAUUAAUCCAGUUCAUAGAUAGCAGAAGCAAGUCAAUCAGCAGCUAUCUCUAAAUGCACCACUUUCAGUGAUAAAAAGAGGAAAAAAAAAAGCUAUGCGCAGGUAUGACACUUUGCCAAACAGAAUCAUGGAUUGAUGGCACAUGAUACUUGAUGAUUUUUUUAGUUGGAGAGACAAUAUGGAUCACAAUUCUACUAGAGGAAUCACUUGAUGCAUAUAAGAUACUGCCAACAAACCAAUUGAACUAUAUUCACCUUUGAAGAUUGUUAGCCCAGCGAGAUAUAAGAAGCUCCACCACUUUUCCGAUCUGUCCAGCAAAGAGCAAUAGAAGAACAUAAGCAAAAAUCAUCUGUCAUGUAUCCAUCACAUUCUAGUUUCACAUCACAGAUAUCUUUUUGUCCUACUACGUGCAAACUGUCAUUGACCACAUAUUCCAGGAUUCAAGCAGAUAAUUAUGUCCAGGGCACUUCUUUGAAAUUUUAUAUCUUCUUUUGAUCCAUACUCUCCAUAACAACAUGAAAAGCCUAAAUCAUGUUCUCAGCAAAAACUUUUCACAGGAAAACCCCAGAAUUGUCAGCAGGUCAUUUUUACCACUCAAACGAUAGUUCUCUAUAUAUCUUGCAGCAAGUUACUCAUGUGGAUUUCUAUCCAGAAACUGACUGGACUUUUAAUUGAAGAGAUCAGCAAUCGAUAUACAAUGACAACAGUAUUUGUAUGUCCAAGUAGGCUACUUUACUUGUCUUACCUCUCUCUGGCCAUCCUCCAACAUAAAACAACUACUUGGCACGAAACCCCUCUCAGACCCUUUCCAUUCUUGACUGUGUGGAGAUCAGCAAAAGAAAGAACAAAAAAAGGCAAGAUAGGAUAAUUUAGCAAGCAGGAGAGCAAAGGGAAUGAUAACAGAUCACUUGCUAGGUAAAAAAAUCUAACAGGGUUCAAUUCCAAUAUGGAGAAAGUCCUGCAAUUGGCGUAAUGCGAAAUCGCAUGGCAGAUUGAAGACAACAACAUUUGAUAUAUGUACGUUUUCACAUAAAAGCCGCAGCACAACCCCACAAACAAAUGCUAACAAAAUGCUAUACUUCGACGCAGGCUUCGAUCUGACCAAAAAAAAAAAAAAAGAACUUCAGGCUUCGCAUCUUCAACUCAAGAGCUCGAGCAAAGCUGAAACCAGCACGAUCAUCAAACAAUUAAUCAAGCAUUGAAACAUUAAGACGGAAAGAGUGAGCCUACAUGUUUUGAUCCAAGCAUGGCCUCUUGGAUCCACUUGGUUCAUCCAAAAAAGUGGAAUCCGAAGCUCUCUUUUGCGUGGACAUAAUUUUUCUUUUCUUUUGUAGAAUUUGACAAGAACUGAGAAAGUGUCGGAAUUUUGGGAGUGUUCACCCGCUGAAAGAAUGUUGCUUGUAGAGCUUAACAAGAACUGAGAAAGUGCCUGGAUUUUGGGAGCGUUCGCUCGAAAGAAUGUUGCAGAGAAAAGAACAAAUCAGUAGACAGUUUAUCCGCGAACUCAAACUCAAGAGGGCAGAGAGAGAGAGGGGGAGGUCGCACGCCGGUCGGUUGCUCGCGGUCGUCUCGCCGGUAUCCUCCUGGUUCGCCGGUUGCUCGCGGUGGUUCGCCGGUCGGAAGAGGGAGGGCAGAGAGAGAGAGAGGGAGGUCGCACGCCGGUCGGUUGCUCGCGAUCGUCUCGCCGGCCGCUCGCGGUGGUUCGCCGGUCGGGAAGAAAGAGGGUGGAUCAGUGGUUCGUGCGCGCCACGUCAUCCGCUGACGUGGCGCGCACAUACCACUCAGGUACCGACACCUGUCCCGAGCGGGACCCCCUGGAAAAUGAGAAAAGGGCUGGUAUUCGGCUGGCUCGGCUCGGCUCCACCUACAGAAAAGAAAGGACGGUAGCCUACGGCCCUACGUUUGUGCAGAAGAUGGACAGCGGACCCACGCCUCCACGUGGCGCUUCAUGAAUGGCCGGAGAGAGAACGUCUUUGUUGUAGAGAGGAGGCCGUCCAUUUUCUUCUUCAGGGAUGGGAGGAGGACAGGAUAUGAGCGAGCGAGAGAGAAAUAAAUGCGUGCAGGCUGUUAUGUGCAGGUCUAGUUGAUAGGGGAGAGGACAAAGGACCGAAACUGAGCCCACUUCUCUGACGCUCUCUCUCCUCUUUCUCUCUUUUGUCCCCCUUCCCAUACACGUGGCACCGCGUGAGUGGUUCGGGACCACGUUGACGUGGUGGUCCCGGACCACCCAAUAUUUUCUCGGAUUCCUGACCGAGGUGACGCUAGGUGGGAUUUGGGAGCUACUCCCUGCAUAGGAUAAGGUUCUAGAAGAAUAUGAGGAAGUGAGGGAGAAAAGCACAAAGAAGGAGUUGGGAGUAAAAACCAAUUUUAGAGAAAGAGAGAGAGAGAAUGGCUUCUGAGGGGAAGAGGACUGCAAGAACAUGUAGCGCUCACAAUGGCGACAUCGACAAUAGGUGGUCGCUUCAGGGAAUGACCGCCCUCGUCACUGGCGGUAGCAAAGGAAUUGGGUCUCUCUCUUUCUCCUACUCAACGAACACUUCGUUUUUUUAUGUUGUUCAUUUAGAUGAUCGAUCAACUCUUAUGGUUUAGGUUAAGAAAAAAACAUCAUAAUUUAGGCAUUUGAAGACAGCCAAUCUUGUGCCUAUGGCAAUCAAACUAAUUUUAUAUCUAUUAACUAACGACAAACCUAGAAGCAAAUCUCAACCGUCCACAUAAAAUUAGUGAAUUGAUCUUGUAAUGACCCAUGGAUGAAGUUGGGAGGAAGGUAAGGUUGCAUUUGUGUUUUAGAGUAUGUGCUUAAACUUAUAUGACUACUGAUUAGGGUGCUUAAAAUAAAUUAUUUGUUUUUACAAUUUCCAUUUUGUGUGUGUGUGUUUUUAAUUUUGGAAUAUCUAUUAUAGCAAAAUGGGUAUAGUUGCCCAACUUAGGACUAUCCGGGCCAGAAAAAUUCAAGUCAGGCAUGUUAGAUAGGGCUUUCAACUAUAGCAGGUGCUUUUGAAUCUGAUUAUAUUCGAUUUCAUAGAUAAAAUGCUAGACAACUAAUUUCAUGAUCACUCAAAACUUUAUAUGACAAAGAUGAUGAGAGAUCAAUUACUUCGAGGAUUUGUAGCUGGAUAGGCUGGUUUAUGCAUUUUUGUUUUUUUAUUUAAAGUUUUGUUGUCUUUAGAUGUUAAUAGCUCAUAGACAUGUCGCUAGCUAGUAGAAUUUGCAUUCUCCGAUUGUCAUGAUCCAGUGCAUUUAAAGGCUUUAAUCAUCUGUUAGACUUCAAUUGCCUGUGUAAUCAAAUGUUCCGCACAUUCCAAUGUAUCACCUGUCAACUUCUUCUAUUGGCAAAGAAGAAGGGCUUGAUCUGUUCUCGUUUGCAAUUACAAGUUGGUAAAUGGUCAUAAUGUCGUCCCGUGCUUAGGCGUGCUAUUGUUGAGGAAUUAGCGGGGCUUGGGGCUACCGUCUACACCUGCUCCAGGACUGAAGCUGAACUCAAUGAAUGCUUGAAAGAGUGGAAGCGUAAGGGCUUCCAAGUGGCGGGUUCGGCUUGCGACGUUUCCUCAAGAUCCGAGCGAGAGAAACUGAUGCUCGCCGCGUCCUCCCUCUUUGACGGCAAGCUCAACAUCCUAGUAAGCGUCGGUCGUCUUUGACCCCGUGGAUCCAAUAACAACAUUGAUAAGGUCACGAUUUGUGCUUUUAUUUCGAUAGAUUCUGUUCCGUUUUUCAUUUUCUUGGGAUUGGUUUGUGUGUUAGAUAAACAACGUUGGGACUCUGGGGACAACCGGUGGAAUGCCGACCGUGGAUUGCACGGCGGAAGAUUUCUCCUUCAUUAUGACUACUAACUUCGAAUCGGCUUAUCACUUGAGCCAGCUUGCGCAUCCUCUUCUCAAGGCUUCGGGAACCGGAAGCAUCGUGUUCUUGUCAUCCGUCUGCGGUAUUGUUUCACUCAGCGUCGGAUCAAUUUAUUCAGCCACAAAAGGUGAAUUGAUAGUAUCAUGAGCAACUAUUUAAACACUUUUAAUAUGGAGCUAAACAAAUUCCAUAUGUUUCUUACUUUCUCAACUCAUUGUUAGGAGCAAUGAACCAGUUGACCAAGAAUUUGGCGUGCGAAUGGGCUAAGGACAACAUAAGAAGCAACUCUGUUGCACCUUAUUUUAUUCUGACUCCAUUGACCGAGCCUGUAAUUUAAUGUCCCAAGGCUUUAAAUUUCUAUCUUGACCAUUUUUCCCAUCGUGAUCUAACGUUAACCCAUCCUCCGUCGCAGCUACUUUGUAGUGAGGAGUUUCAUAAGGAGGCAAUAGCCAGGGCGCCGCUCGGUCGCACAGGAGAGCCGAAGGAGGUGUCGUCACUUGUGGCCUUCUUGUGCUUGCCGGCAGCCUCCUAUAUAACGGGGCAGACCAUUUGUGUCGAUGGAGGAUUCACUGUCAAUGGCUUCUCCUUUCCUAGAGCAUGAGUGUAACUUUGUUCUGUGUCUGAGAUGUUUGUCGUGCGUUGCCGUCGCAGGGAUAAAGAAGUUUAUUAACCAAUAAUGGCAACGUCGCAAUACGUUUCAAUGUGUACGUCGAUCAUUUGUUGACCGCAUAUAAGGGAGAGUAUCGUACUCCCACUUUGUAUUCCCUUUCGAGCUCUUUUAUGCAAUUGCCUAUGAGUAAAAUUUAUGUACUUGACAAGCAAUGAUGGAAACAGCAGACAUGAUAUACUACAACAGCACUAUCCGAGAAUAUAACAUUUUUUUACACAAGACAAACGAAGUUUGAUUCACAUAUAUGUUAUAUCUGUUUUCCAUAUAUCUAAACGCUAAAUCAUAAAAUCCAAAGUGUAAUUUAUUAUUAAUUCCUAACACGAAAUUGACCAAGUAUGUUUCGUAGCAAUUGUAUCGUCAAAAUCGUCUUUGUAAUGCUAUGUUAAUAAUAUUUGUGAAAGAAUGCCUCCUUUUAUGGCACUGCCUUGGUCAAAGAGAUGUUUUAAUUUGAACAUGAGAUCCACAACAUCAAGAUGGUAUGAAUCGAGAAACUUGAUGCAUUGGAAAUAUAGAACCACUGAAAUUAACAUAUAUAGCUUUAUAUAACCGUAGCAAGGUAGAGGUUAUCACUAGCUUUGCCUUCAUAUGAGUGAAAGAUGUGAUGAUGAGGUAAAAUUCAAUAACGCAGCCUGAAAACAUGCCGGAAAAUUCUUUUUUGUGAUCUAAAAAUAGCAUCAAAUGCCUUGACCCUACAGCCUCACAGCGUUGAGCUUUGUAGGAGCUUCUGGACGGGCAAUACUGACCACAUAACUCUGGGUUGAUCAAAUCUUAUCUCUAGUUAAAGUAGAGGUGCACGAAAUUUCGGGCCAAAGCUAGAAAAGUCCGGAUCAGAGACGGCUAAUUCAUUUUGAUUCGGGCUAGUGUAAUUAAGGACUAGGUGCAACCUACAAUCAUUACGAUCAAUUCGUUUUGGAUGGGCCAAGAAAUACACAAGUGCUUGGCCAAGCACAAUCCUACUAUCUCUGAAAUUAUUAUAAAGGAAUGAUAUAUCAAAAUUGACAAUUUUCAAAUGCCUAAAUCAUGAAGUUAUUUUUCUCAACCUAAACCAUAACAGUUAAUCGAUCAUCUAAAUCAACGACAUAAGAAAAACGAAGUGUUUGAUGAGAGAGAGAGAGAGAGACCCGAUUCCUUUGGUACCACCGAUGACCAGGGCGGCCAUUCCCUGAAGUGACCACCUGUUGUCGUUGUUGCCGCUGCGACUGCUGCAUCUACUUGCAGCUUGCAGUCCCCUUCCCCUCACGCCGCAUGUGAAUUGCGAACCACUCCCAACGUAAGGUCAUAGAAGUCUGCUGAGGGUGAGAACUGUAGCAAUGACAAGACUUAGGACGCCACAACGAUUUCGAACCACAGAAUUUGCAUUCUAUCAUGGAAGUAGGCAAGUCCCACACCUAUCUUUUAUCGAAGCACCACGUUACUUGUGUUUUCAUGUUACUCAGGUUGAACUGAUAGUUAUUCAUACAGUUGUCAUAUAAUGCCAACCUUCAUGAUCAUCCUGGUGCAAUGUGAGUAACAUGAUAGUGUAGAAACAUUCCCAAAUGUGAAUCACCAAAUAGAAAACUAAUGAAUUACUAAAUCCAGAGACUUAGUGUGAACUUUUCCAAGCCCAUACCAACCGUAUUUUUCAAGUUUUUUAAUUUUAAUUAGCAUAACAUGUAAAUUAGUUUAUUUACGAGUCGCCACUCAUCAAUUAUCAGUUGGUCGUAUUUUUCGAGUUUUUAAUUUAAUUAGCAUAACAUGCAAAUUAGGUUAUUAUUAUUAUUCUUCUUCUAAUUUAAAUAAUUUAGUUUUUAAUUUAUUUUGAAUUAAUAUUAAAUUAAUAAAUUUAGUGGCAAAAUGAUGUCGUUUUGCACCUUCAUUGCUGAGUUGGCUUUUGGCAAGCCACGUAGAUCACAUAUAUUAUUAGAAAAAUGCCACGUUGGGUUUUCGGCUACUUUCACUAGAUUUGGCACUAAUGUGUCCCACUAUUAAAAGAGAGUGGCAUUUAAGUGUACAUUUUAGAACUUUUAGCACUAAAGUAUUCACUUAUGCCAAGUUUUGGCAUUCUCGAUAUUCUUUGUCCAACAUCUAACUAUUAAAGAUAUGUUAAAAAAGUUUAGGUUAGUGCCUGACAUAUGCCACAUAGGACCGCCAACAUCCACGUCAAUUAUUUCUAAUCUAAAUUGGCUAAAUAAAUUGAAGUGGUAUCAAAGUAAAAAGGUUUAGAACUAAAGUUUAAAACUGAAUUUGUAUUAAUGCAAUAAGUUUAUGACUUUUUUGAUACUGUUCCCAAUUAUCAACGUACUACUUCCCCUUGUUAUGUGGCCAUUGUAUCAGACACGUUAAUUGCCAGCCUAAUCUAAGUGGGCAAUGAUAGUGAUAGCCACCCUCCUAAAGGCAACGGGGAUUCCCCGAGGAAUGUUGACAGAUUGCUAAGUGAUUGUGAAUAGCUUUGCCUAACAUGAGCCUUCCCAAAUUUACCAAUCACAACUUAAUUUUUCCAAUAAAUUAUUCAAGCAAUAUUAGAUUAAAGUUGCCACUAACCUAUUAAGUGUCGAGUAGUAACCCGGAUAGGAUGUAGUGGUCCAUCUUGCUCCCAAGAACCAAAUUUAAUUAUGCUAUAUGAAUCUAACAUUGUUUUUUUACCCUUCUCUUUAUAAAAUCGCUUUAUCAUAUUAUAGCCUAAAAGUGAUCGUGAAUGGUUCUCAAGCAAUAAAAUAAACAAUCAGGCAAUAAACAUCAAAUAACGAAAUAAUAAAUAUCUAGCAAAUAAAUAAAUAACUAGAAUAAUAAAGAACUCCAGCCGAAUUGGGCAAUAAUUACAAAGCUUUUUCAUAGGCUUUAGGGUAAAACCCUGUGUGCUGUAGGUGAAAAGUCUAAAAGUACUCAUGCAAGCUUCCUAAAAUAGACAAUUGUAUCACAGGAAAGUGAAUAUGCAAAUGUAACAUGCUAUGUAAAGUAAAUUCACUAAAUGAAGUGUUUUUUGAAAAUGAGCCAUUAAACAUGGGAAUAGAAUUUAACAUUAUGCAAUCCAAUACUAAGGCUAUAUUUCAUAGUCAGGAUAAAAUUCAAGAUAUGAUAUUAUCCUAUCCUGCAUUUGGUGUCGCUCAAGAUAGGAUAUAGUCGCAUAUAAAUGGUAUAGACCGGAUAAUAUUAUCCUAUGAUGGAAAUGGGAUAAAUGUGGAUGGGAUUUCUAAUAUCUAUAAUAGGAAAGUUUUUUUUUUUUAAUGAAAAACUUCUUAAAUUAACAAAAUUAAAUUAUAUAUCAAUAUAAAUAAUAUUUGAAUUCUAAUAUAAUAAAUUCAAAAUAAAAAAUAGUUAUUUUAAUUUAAUCUUAUUUUAUUUAUAUAUUUGAAUUUAAUUCUAUUUUAUAAUAUAAAUUCAAUAUCUAAAUAUAAAUAUAUAUUAUUACAUAUUUUAGGUACUUUAGUAUUUUAGGUAUAUUCGCAUAGUUUACCAUUUAAUAAAAGUUUAUUAGAGAAUGAUGGAAGGGGAAGAAAGAAAUAAAAAAGAUAUUAAUUGAUAAAAGAGAGGAAAAUAAAAUAAAAUAAAAUAAAAUAAAGUGGGUAAGAGUGUCACGAGAGUUUUUUAUCAUCUCCAUUUGUAAAAUUUGUUUAUUCAUUUUAACUAAUAUACUGUUAAUAUCAAACAAUGUACAUGAUAUGAUAUGAAUACAUUCGACUUAAUUACUGCAAUUACUAAACAUUGAAUAUGAUAUAAUAAAAUCUCUAGAUUUCAUAUCCUAUCAUAUUCAGUCCUAUCCUAAUUAAAAAUUCGAACAAUCAAACGUAAUCUAAAAGAAUGAAUCUACUUAUAUAAUAUGAAUAUGCCCUAAAUGCACCCUCCUACAUAUUUUUGUGAUUAUUCAAAUGAAGAUGCAAUCUAAUUACCAGAAGAAAUGAUUUUUUAAAUUUUUUAUUUUAUAACUUGUGAUUAUGGUAACAAACAUAUGAAUAUCGGAAUACAAUAAUAAUUCAAUUUGACGAAUUUAGUCAUAAAUUUUUUAAUGUUUUGACAAUGUAAUCCAAGGUCGAAUAUAUAUAUUUUUUUGGUCAAAGAUAGAUGAUUCUUUCAUUCACAAGCAAAGAUUACAAGAAGACGAUAGGGUGGAUUCAUAGCAUAAAAUACUAAGAAGAGGAUAGGGAGGUGCCUUGAAAUAGUUUGUGGGAAGGGACUUAAGACGAUGCGAUUUCUCUACCCAAUCAGCGGCUUGGUUGGCUUCUCUCGUGCAAUAAGACAACUUAACGAAAGGUAAGUUUUGUAGCAUGAUUUUGAUUUCAUUAAUCAAGCUUCUCAUAGCCCAUGAGCUUCGGCCUGGCCCAGCGUUGCUUCAACAAGAGAUUGAUUAUCGCUUUGUACUUCCCAAGCACUUCCCUUGUUCUGAAACUGAACUAUGCCCACGUGAGUUGUUGUUCUAUGGGUGAGAAAAUGUAGACCGUGCGAGAGAGCUAGGGCUUCAGCGCACAAAGCAUUCGCCACUUGGAUCUCAGCAGCAAAUCCAUCGAUCAACAGCCCUCUUGAGUCGCACACAACCCCCGCCAUCGAGUUCUUCUCUUCCCCCUUCACCCAGGAGCAAUCGAUGUUGAGUUUGAAGCCAUCUCUGUCCGGCGGUUUCCACGUUUCAGGUGAAGAGCGGUUGCUAGAUCUCUUCUGUUCUUUACUCGGGACCCAUCUGGAGAAGGCCCUAACUUGGGCGUGAGCUAGAUCUGCUAUAAAGUCAAAUUUGGGAGGCUUGGAUAAGAAGAUAUGGUCAUUCCGAAGCUUCCAUAUGAUCCAAAGCGUGCUGGCCACCAUCUCCACUAAGGGUAAGUCGAGUUUUUCAGCAAAGAAAUCUUCAAACAACUUAUCCAUUCAGGUUACUGAGAUUGUUUUGUUGUAGAGGUUGAGUCGCGGGUCAAGCCAUGUAUGUCGGGUUCUUUUGUAGAGGAAAAAGAGAUGCUUUGUUGUUUCAAGGUGUCGAGAAUAGGGUGGGCACAACGGAUCAGGUAAUACUCGCCUCUUAUAAAAAUUUUCCUUUGUGGGUAUUGCGUUUUGACAGAUGCUCCAUAGAAAAAACUUAACUUUGGGAGGGAUUGGGAUACUCCAUAAUCGGGUCCAUAAGGAUUUAGGUGGCUGGUAUGAAGUAGUUGCUUUGUUUGGAUCUGGAGAAGUAAUCAAUGAGCAAAUCCUGUUGUAUCCACUUUUAACUGUAUAGGAGCUGGACUUGUUUCCCGUCCAUAUCAUCCUAUCUUUCUGUGGUAUUGCUGAAAUAGGGAUUGCAAGAAUUUCUUUAACUACUUGGUCGUCAAAAAGUUCACGAAGCUUUGGCUCAUCCCAUGCUCUGCCUUCAUUGCACAUUAAUUUAGCAACUUUCUCAGGAUCAUUUAUAUUCGCCGGCCCGCCUAAUACUCCCCUUGGAAGCCAUUUGUCCUGCCGAAUGUGAAUACGUUCCCCAUCCCCCACCAUCCAUUGGACUUCCGGUUCAAUAGUGUCUCAGCCUAUGAGAAUGCUUCGCUAGCCCCAAGAUGGCCUCUGUCCUGGUUUUGCUCUCCAUAAGUCCCCAUUUGGAUAGUAAACACCUUUUAAUAUCUAGCUCCAUAGUGCUGAGGGUGAUUGUAAUAAUCUCCACGCUUGUUUGUUUAACAUAGCCUUAUUGAACUUAAUUAGGUCUUUAAAGCCAAGACCCCCUUCAUCUUUUCUGGACUUCAAAACUUCCCAUUUCCUCCAAUACAUACAUCUUUUAGAAUCAUUUUGUUUCCACUAGAAGGCUGCAAUCCUUUGUUCAAUGGCUUUGCAUACUGAUAUUGAGAUUUUGAAAAUAGACAUGGCAUACCGGGGAAGAGCCUAUAUCACUGCUUUGAUCAAGACAUCUUUGCCGGCUUUAGACAGUAAUUUUUCUUUCCAUCCUUCAAGCUUCAUGUUUGCUCUUGCAGGAAUCCAUGAAAACAUCUCAUUUUUUGUUUGUCCCCAGUCAGAUGGAAUUCCCAAGUACUUCCUUGUUUUGUCGAUAAUAGGCACACGUAACUCAUAUGCCAUAUUCAUUUUCAAGCUCAGAGGGCAGCCUUGCUAAAAAACACAUGAUUUGUUUAAAUUGAUGGUUUGAUCGGUAGCAUAGCAAUAUUGAUUCAAAAUGUUUGCCACAUUUUGACAUUCUCUGACUGUCCCAUCCAGAAAAAGUAUAGCAUCGUCUGCAAAUAAUAGAUGAGACAGCGUGGGACAAUACCUGUUCAAUUUUAUUCCUUUGAUGCUUCCAUCUUCUAGUGCUUUGUGCAUCAUCCAGGAGAAUGCAUUUGCCAUUAACAUAAAUAGGUAUGGGGACAAUGGAUCUCCUUGUCUUAAACCCCGCGUCGAAUGGAAAUAUCUUGUAUGAUUGCCAUUGAUUUUGACACUAAAGGACACCAUGGAGACACAAUGCAUCACAAGCUCAAUCCAUUUUUUACCAAAUCCCAUCUUCCUCAUACUCAUUGUUAAGAAAUCCCAUUCAACCCUAUCAUAAGCCUUUUGCAUAUUCAGUUUAAGAACUGCAUGGAAUUUCUUUUUGUGAUCUAUAAUCCUUAGCUGAUGCAAAACCUCUUGAACAAUAUAUAUGUUGUCAUGUAUUUGUCGUUCUUUAACAAAGGCGCUUUGUUUAGUAGUUAUUAGCUCAGCAAGGCAUGGUUUUAGUCUAUUUGCUAGCACUUUAGAGAUAAUUUUAUAGCUUAAAUUACAUAAACUGAUUGGCCUAAACUGACAAAUACUUUCUGGAUUUUUCACUUUUGGAAUAAAGGAUAUAUGAGUCUUGUUGAGCAGGGGAUCAAAUGAACCUGAUUCAAAAAAGUUUUUGACCAGAUUGAACACUUCUAGCUUAAUCUCUUCCCAAUAAUACUGAUAAAAUUGUCCAUUAAGGCCAUCCGGACCGGGGGCUUUGAGUGUACCUAGCUGGAACACCGCUUCUUUGACCUCUUCCAUUGAAAUAGGAGCUAACAGGCUUUCAUUCAUUUCUCUAGUGACUAUAGAUGGGCAUAUGUCUAGCAGAGGUUGAAGGUUUCUUGGGCCUGCCGAUUCAUAUAAUGAGCGAUAGAAAUCUUCUAUGUGUUGCUUCAAUAUUUUCUGAUCCUUACACCAAGUAUCUUCAUUUAGUUUCAACACGGAGAUUCUAUUUCUUUGUCUUCGUUGAACCGUUGUAGCGUGGAAAUAUUUUGAAUUCCCGUCGCCCCAUUGAAGCCAAUUUGCGCAAGACCUCAUAUAACAAUGCUGGUUGUUUCCACAGCCGUUCUAUAUUCUCUUUAAGCUCCUGACUUUCCUGCUUGCUGGAAAAUUGGUGAUCCCCAUUCGUAAUCUCAGUUAAUUUUUGUUUGAGCCUUUUGAUUUGGAUAGAGGCAUUAGAAAACUUAUUUUUGCUCCAUGCGGUCAACUCUUGUGUAACGGAAUGUAUUUUCUGAGAAAAAGUCAUAUAACAAUGCUGGUUGUUUCCUCAGCAACGACUUAUGAUGUCCCGACAUUCUUCUUCCUCCGUCCAAUAUGCUUCAAACUUAAAUUCCUUUCUUUUAUUCUCCCGAGCAAGAUGUAAAGAUAACACCAAAGGGCUAUGAUCAGAACCUACCGCUGGAAGGGCGACAACUUCAGCAUUUGAGAAGGUAAUUCUCCACUCCAUUGUACAAAGAGCUCUAUCUAGCCUCUUUUUAACUAAAUUUUCACCUUCUCUAUUAUUAGCCCAAGUAAAAGCACACCCCUUUGUAUCAAUAUCCAUCAAGGAACAAUCGUUGAGCAUCUCUCUAAAGGCCGCUAUUCUAUGUUGAUCAGCUUCCCUUUUCCCAACUUUUUCCCAACUAUAUAGAAUUUCAUUAAAGUCCCCCAUACAGAGCCAAGGAAGUUGAUUAGUAGAAUGAAGAUUCCGAACAUUUUCCCAUAACAUAAGUCUCUCCUGGAAUUUUGUGGAAGCAUGCAUCAUUGUGACUCUCAUUAGUUGUCCACUAUUCGGAUCCUUACAUUCCACAUCCAUAUGCUCUUUUGAACUCGAAUUGAUUUGAAUUUCCACGCCCUCAUUCCACAUCAGCACCAAACCCCCGGCAAUUCCUAUUGGUUGCUCUACGAAUAUGUGUUGAAACUUCUAUCUUUUUCAGACUUUAUCCACCAUCGACUCCUUAUUUUUAGUUUCCAUCAAGAAAACCAAAUCGGGCUUUUCUUGAGCCAUUAAGGCUCUAAGCUCCUAAACUGUCAGGGGGUUGCCCAGCCCCUGACAGUUCCAACUUAGAAUCUUCAUGGUGUCUUUGGUGGCUUAUUAAGGCUAGCCACCAGAGCCCAAUCCUUCCCCUCUCUUACCAACUGCACAGGGGUAUCUAAUAAUUCCAUAUCAUCCAGAAUAUAAGAGGUAGAAACUUCUGCUCUUUUCUGUUUAUUUGUUUUUUGAUAUUUCGGCAUCUUCGUUUUAGAUUCACCUGUGAUGUUCAGUCCUGCAUUGGGUGGGCCUUCGAGUAGCAUCAACUGUUUUCCACUGCCCUCUUUGGCUGAUGAAAGCAUUUCUUUGCCAUCUCUUCCCACCAAUGAAGAAGGGCUAUCUACUCAUUUCUUGUUCCGGGAAAGGGGGUUAAUUGUUUCAGUUUCUGCCCUUGCAGUAACUUCCAUAUUGACUGUCUCCACGGGAGUUUCAGGUAUAGAUUCUUCUUCAUUAGGAACAACCUUGCCAUAAAAUGCUUCCCAAUGUGGACUUUUACUUCUACUUUGAACCAUGGCCCAUACUUUCCUACCUUGUUUGUAGCCCAGUUCGUUGUUUCAUAGGGUAUCUCCUCACAAUAUGAUGCAUAGUGCCCAAUUCGCCCACAUGAGUAACAAAAGUGAGGGAGACGCUCAUAUUUAAACUCCACCCAUAAAUUCUUGUUCCCUAUCUUGACUAAAGCCCCAAUUUUCAGAGGAGCUGUAUGAUUCAUCUCUACUUUAGCUUUCCCUGUCUUAUAGGGACCAUAGCCUUUAGAUGCUAAUUGUAUUUCUUUUACUGCUCCCACUUUACCAGCAACAUUAGAAAAUACCUCUUCUAAGAUCCAUCCCGGGGGUAGUCCAACAAUGUGAACCCAUAACUCAUAUCUAGAAAAAUCAUAGCAGUGUACAGGGAUAUCUGGCUCACAUUGUUUUAGCACUAACAAAUUGCUUGCAAAUGACCACGGCCCAGAUUUCAGGACUCUCUCCUUUUCCUCCUCUGUCUCGAAUACAAACGAGAAGAGACCCAGUUCUUUUUUAGAGCAUUCAACAGCCUCUGUUUUCCACGCCUUCUUCAUAGUGUUGCAAAAUGCUUGAAAAUUCACAUUGGAUUUUGAGUAUAACUUACCAAAGAGAGUAUGACUACAUUCAAUGCGUUUGUUAUGGGGGAUUUCCUGUUGUACUUCAAUUACAUCAUUGGCAGACCAUAAAUGGCCUAAACUCUUGCAGAGAGCAGCAAGACGACACUGAUUUUCCUCAUCAUGCUCCAUUCCGGCAUCAAAUUAGUGGGUUUUUGGGGUUGAUAGUGGCUGAGGGAUGAGGUUAUCUUCAGGACUGUUCUGUGGAUGUCUAAUGGCUUUGGGUAUUGGGUGAUUGAAGGGAGCUUUGCAAGAUAGUGGAGGGGAGGCGAAAUCUGUCGGAAGGUGCUACUCCACGCUCGAUUUCCUGUGAAACAUAAGGGGGGAUUGCAUUUCCGAGAUGGUUUUAGGGUUUGUGUUCUGUAUACCCAUGGAUUUGGGCAAUGAUUUACUAGUUUCGAAUGGUAUGGUUUCCACAAAACUAUGGGAUGGAGCAGUGAUUUAGGUUUUGGGGGUAAAAGCUCCUAUGGGAUUGGGAGAGGAGAACUCAACUAGCGAGAGAGAAAUCUUAAAAAGUGGUUUAAUAGUUCCAAGGUCGAAUAUCACUAAAGUAAAUGUUGGGCAUUUUAUGCGGUAUGGUGAGCUUUGAUGUAGAUCAUUUUUACAAAAAAAUUCUAAAUUUUGUUCUUUCCUUCCUUUCCUUUUCUUUCUCUUUUCUUUUUGCCAGUGGUUGGUCGCUAGCUUGGUGAGGGUCGCCCUCACUCACUACAUGCGAAGGUCGGCCGUGCCUAGGCAAGGCCUAGUGAGGCUGCCUUGGCUUGGGCGAGGGACCCUCACCCAAGCUAGGGUGGCCUCACUAGCACUCACCCUCCCCUAGAGAAGGUCGGCCCUUGCUAGCCAACAAAGUGUAAAAAAAAUUGUAAAAAAUGUCUACAUCAAUGCUAACUGUAUCAUAUAGAAUGGCUGGCAUCUAGCUAGUGAUUUUUGGUCAAAAUUGGUCAAAUAGACUACAUUAGCAAAUUGUCAAAAGGUUUAGGACUCGAUUAGCCAAAUUGAAAUUUUUAGGACUAAAUAGGACUUUAUUAAUAAUUUCCCUGGCAAUUUCCUAUAUAUUGGAUCUCUAAUUAUUUAACAUGUGAUUCAUGAACCAUGAAAUCAUUAACUUAUGUAAAAAGCCAUGUCCAUCCUAACAUGCAAUCGAACAAUCACGAACAAGUGAGGUGCAGGAAACACUUCUAUUGUCGGUCUUCUAUCUUUUUGGAAAUGAUAGGACGAUGCAUGCAAAAGAGUCCAUAUUUUUAUCACGUGAGAUGCAUCCUAAAGAUAAUCAAUUAGGCCCUUCAUCUCAUCCCAACCUGGACAGCACGCAUCUCCGAUAACGCUCAGGAAUUUGGUUCGAUCCCUCGCAUCGUGCAAUCCUGUUUAGUCGAUUAUAGCGAGCUAAGACAAAUCAUGUUCAGGAACUGCGUGGAGAUGGUUUAUGACCAGUUCCUAAGGGUGGCGAUUAGGGACCAAAUAAAAUCAAUAGCGAGCGAAUCAAUAGUCUCAAUGUGUUCAGCAGCUCGAAUAGGAUGGCAUUGUCUCGAUCGAUUCAAACUAGCAAACACAGUCACACUUGUUGUCUCGAUGUGUUCGGCGGCUUGAAUAGGAUGGUAGCAACUCAUUAUCUCGAUCGAUUCAAACUAGCAAACACAGUUACACAGCUUUGCGAUGAGGACUACGACUAAGAGCAAAAAUAUUGGCAACAAUGCCUUUUGCGGUGGCUCGAGAUGGACGCGAUAAUUGCGAUGUGAAUGAUGCUAUGCGAUCAAGUCAAAGGAGAGUCAAGCAGCGGGAUCUGAAUGUUGCUUGUAUUCUCCCCGUGGUGUGUUUUGUUUUGGGUCGAGAGUCUCUUCACAAUUCCACUGAAUAUUCUGCUUGGUCCCGACCGAGAGAAUACAUGCUGUCUCUGGCCGAGGGUGUUGCGGUAUUUGCUGAAAUCCCUUUCAUUGAAGGGUGCUGCUGAGAUUUCAGUAGAGGGUGGCCGGGCUUAUGGGGGCUCGGGCUUGAAAAUUGAAGUGGGUUUUUCUCUUUUAAAUUUAAUUUCAUUUAGCCGGGCCAGUUAAAUUGCAGUUCACAACCAAGCCGAUUUUAAUGGAAUUCAUUUGAUGCGGACAUGUUACUAGUGAACAAAAAAUGGUCAUAUGCCUAAAUGCAAUGUGCAUGCAAAAUUGUGUGAUAGCAGUAUUUUGUUUGAAGGGUCAAAUAAUGUCAUUGUCAGAAAAUUCAAUCCCAAAGUUUUUUGUGAAACAUCUGAGAUUUUUAGACAAAAAGUCAUAUGUCAACAGAUAAUUUUAAAAGAUAUUUAAAAAAAUUUCGAGGAAAUUAUCUUUUUCUUCACCCUUAAUUAAUGUAUGUUUGCCAUGACAAUAAAUUUGAUCGAUAUAAGUAAUGGUCAUGCUUGAUCUAUUAGUUAAGACGUACUCAAUGUAAGUGAAUCAAAUUUUCUCUUUAAAUCAACAAUUUCAAACGUCUUUAAAUAUAAUUUAAAUUUGAAAGGAGUGUUAGAAUACUUAAAUGUUAAACCGCACUUCAAUAUAACAAUUUAGAUUUCUAAAAAGUUGACAGUAGUCUUACAAAAUCUUAUCUAAAGUUCAAAUGCUCAUUAUAUAUUUUAUCUCUAAUGUAGGUUAGAUGACAAAAUAGUAUUAUGCUUAAUAUUCGUAUCAUCAAGGAUAUCAAGUGACUCAAUAUUCAUAAAAUGCUUAAAUCUAGUCUAUAUCGGACAAUAAAUGCAUUAUAUAAUCAUAAGAUAGGCUCUAUAUUGGCCUUAUUAAGUGUUUGAGUAUAAUCCAUUUGUUCAAUUAUCCAUCAAUUAUCCAACGACAACUCACGACUUCAUCUUGCAGGUCAACAUUACAUAACAACCAAUGAACUCUCGAGAUUUUCCCUCUCAAGUGAUUUUUCAUAGAGAGAGAGAGAGAGAGAGAGAGAGAGAGAGAGCCUAAGUAAUGAAUGGGCCAUGUGCAUUUAAAGGCAUAUGUUAGACUUCAAUUGCCAGAACAAUCAAAUCUUCCGCUCAUUCCAAGUUAUCACGCGUCCUAGGGCCUCAACAUUUGGAACUUCUUCUAUUGGCAAAGAAAAAGGCUUGACAUGUUCUUGUUCGCAAUUGUUAAUAAAAAAUUAAUUUUAAAACAAAUAUAAAAAUUGUCCACUAAAUUUGUAUUGUAAGAAAGCGUUUUGAUAAUAUAAUUUUUUUUAAAUAUAAGAAACAAGUUAUCCCAAAUUAGAUUAAAUAAGGAUGUGUUGUAACAAUAUAGAUUGAAUUAGGUAUGGGUCAAGAAAUUUGUAUUAUAGAUAAAUGGAUCAUAAAUAGAUUAGUGAGUCAAUUUGGAUCGGACUGUUCAUGACCAGACCAAACCCACCUGUUUGACAGGUCUAAGUGCCACAUAUAAUUUAUUGCAGCCAAAUCUUUUCUAGGAUUAAAAGUUGUACCAUGAACAAUUUUUUUAAAAAGCAUUUGGAAUUGAGAAAAUAAAAAAGAAAUAUGUAAUGUAUGUUAUGUUUUUAUCAUUUUUGUUCAAUUGUUUUGCGCCAAUCUAUAAUUAAAACUUCUUUCUAGUCUAUAUUGGCGAGAUGACUGGAUAUGCAUUAAGAAUUAUCUCUAAACAAAAAUUUCCUAAUAAUUGGGAUAUCAUUAAAAAGUUCAAAAAACUACUUAUUUAAAGUAAUAAAUUACCUAUUGGAUGAACUAUCCUGACUUAAAUAUUGAAUAAGAUUGGACGAACAUAGAUGACUCAAAAUGUGUCAAAUUAAGAUAGCAUUAGCAGACAAGAUUUUGAUAUCAAUGCUGAUGGUUUUAUGUGAUGGGCUUAAGGCCUGUCCGCCCAUGUUGGGCCUAAAAAGCCCAGCCCACAGGAUUAUGGCUCAUGGAUGAAGGGGUACGAUUCUUUGUUUUUUGGAGGGACGUAUAUAAUGGAGGAGAGAAAAGGAGAACGUACCUUUUGACAUUACGUACGUUCCUUCCUCCCUCUCUCCCUCCAAAAAAAGAACAGUAAGCAAAAGAGGCUACGUAGUCUUCCCUUCAAGGCGAAUUAGCGUCAUCGGAUCGAACAGGGCCAAUUUCUCUUCCUCAAUCUUCAGCAUUGGUGUUUAAUCUGUGGCUAACAAGGUACGCUCGAAUCCGUGGUGUGCUUUAGGAUCGGUGAUACGUGAUUUUCCUAGGCUUGUCUUCUGCAUUCGUUUUAGGGGUUUGAUUUAGUGUCGAAUCCGGUUUUUGGGGAUCCGUUAAUCCCAACAUUAGUAUCAGAGCCCUAGUUCAUGUUUUCCUGAUCCUUUUCAUGUUUUUUGAUUGAUUUUUCGCAAAGAAAUUCGGCUGACAUGGAUCGGGGCGAGAAAUCCCGACACCCGAGCACUGUUCGUCCGUUUUUUUUUUUUUUAGUUUCUGUAAGUAGAAAUCGAAUUUUGAUGGCAUAGGGUGAAAUGGCCCGUCGAGACGAGUCCGACGACAUGUUGUGCGCCGCUAGGCGACGCCGCACGCGCCCACAUGCGCGGCCAGAAGCCGCUGCUCGUGGGCGCCACGCGCCGGUCGGCGAACUGGCACGUGCGCGAUGCCAGCGGCGAACCGGCACGCGCCAGUCGGCGAACUGACUCGUGCUGACGUCACCCAACGGUCGGUAACUACUGGGAUGACGUCAGUGCCGACGACGGCUGGCCAGGCGGUCACCGGCCGACGACCCGACCGGCGACCCGACCUGACCCAACCCGCGGACGCCUGGCACGCGUGCGGCACAUGCAGUAGGUUCGUCCGACCCGGCUCGACCGGCCUGAUCGGUUCAACCGGUCCGACGACCUGCCGCCCAUUGACCCGUUGAUCGACCGUUGACCAUUGACCCGAAAAAAAAAAUUGUUUCUUUUUCAUUUAUGCCUAUGUGGGUUAUAUGUAAUCCAUUAUUUAUUCUGCAUUUGUUGCAUGAAUUUUUGAAAAUUAUGUAUUUUCCCUUAUGUAAAUUAUGGAUUAUGAGUAAUCCAUUUUUUGGUUCUGCAUUUGUUGCAGGAAUUAGGAUGCGUUAUGCACGAAUACCUGCAAUCCCGAGAACGGACGAGGGAAAUGCAAGACUUAAAAGGCUGAUGUCAAAUUUAGCUAAUUAUCGGUGGCAUGACGGUGAUUUAGUAUCACAUGUGGUCAUGGUCAAUCAGAUGAUACAGGAAAUCAUCUGGAAUGGUUAUCUUAUGCCGGAUUUUGAGAAGGUGUCGGCUUUGAUGAACACUCUUCUACCUGAAUGGCAAUCAGUGUUAGAUCGGCUAUGGGAGGUCAACGUGGUCCCGGGUUAUAGGAGGCUAGUGAAAGCUUUUGUAAGAGAGUACUAUAAGAUUGAGUUGGCCAAAACUUCAACCCUUAGAUUGAACGCCACAUGGUGCAGAGUGAAUGCGCCUUGGAGGCGACAUGAAAGCUCUCUAAAAGUUUUUCCAUGGUUGGCAAAUGUGCCUUCAAAUUUCUUGGAUAUUUUGAUUGAUAGAUUAGAAGGAACAUUCCCUAUUUAUUUCUUAGAUUAGUUUGAGAUGUUUUUGGGUGUGAAUAUCUCUUUCUAUGUUGAUAUUUCUUUGUAUAUAUUACUUAGUGUAAUAGAUAGUUGUAUUAUGUGAAAGCAUUGUUAUUCUAUUGGAUAUUAGAUAUUAUUUGCUUUCUGUUAUUGAUGACUGCUGUGGGUAGUUCAUAGAAGUUUUUGUAACUUCAUAAAAUUUAUUUUGCAUAAGACAAUUAUAUUAAUGAUAAUUUUAAGUUAGGAUUUUUAGAGAAUGAUUGGAAACAUAGUGACCUUUUGAUUCUGAAGCCUUACUUGAAAUUAUUCAUUAAUAUGAUGGGUCUGUGCAAAUAGGGAUGCAUAAAUGAUAGGCAUUAAUUAUUCGUGCAUGUAUGUCUGAUGUGUUCAGAUCGAUGUUUUCAGCAACUAAGAACGUAAUUGCUUAUAUGAACGGCAACAAUUGUGAAAUAUUGAAUAUGAAGAUUCAAUAUGUGCUGGAAAAGCAAGAAGCACUAGAAGCUCUUGACUAUGUUAUGGAAGAUCUUGAAGAUGCCAUGCGCCACCUCAAGCUAGCUGAGGACCGCCUAACGGCAUUUGAGCCGAAAAUAGAUAUUUGCUAUGUUGGUUCUAGCUCAGAAAGGGCUUUGAGCUCUAAGCGCAAGCGUAUUGAUUCGUUCAAUAUGUGGGAAUGCAAAGGAUCAAGUCCUUAUUGCAAGAAAUCAAGAGUUAAUCAACACAAGAGAGGAAAAUGUCCUCAAGUGAAGAAAAUGUCAAGGGUGAGGUGUUACAAUUGUGACAAGAAAGGUCACUAUGCUCGCGAUUGUCGUGAGCCAAAGAAGGUAAACACCUCUUGUACAUUUGAGAAUUUUGCUUAUGUGUCAAGUUCUGUAUUAUUGGCUGAAUCCAAUCAUUUGUGGACUGUAGAUUUAGGAGUAACAGACCAUGUAGCAAAGGAUAGAGGAUCCUUCGUGGAAUUCCGACGAGUACCAACUGGAACUAAGUGGAUCUAUGUAGGAAAUAACUCCAGAGAUGAAGUUAAAGGGAUUGGCACCUGCCAAUUGAACAUGCGUGGUGGACGCACCUUGUUCCUACAUGAUGUUCUAUAUGCUCCGAAGAUUCGUCGAAAUUUAAGUGUUUGUUUUUUGGUGUUGGUUAAGCUUGUUUUUAGUGAGAACUUCCGUAAUAGCGGUGUAGAUUUGUAUUUGGAUACAAACUACUAUGGUUGUGGUCAUUUUUUGGAUGGUUUUAUUGUACUAAAUGUUGACCGUAGUGAUGUCAAUAAUUGUUAUUCCCUUAUUUCUCGUCUUCUACUUCAUAUGAUAAUGAUGUGAUUAUGUGGCAUGCUAGACUUGGCCAUAUUAGCCAACAUCGUAUGAAUAGACUGGACAAAGAGGGUUUGUUGGGCAACAUUGAAAAAGUCAAUUUGCCCAUAAAUGAGUAUUGCCUAGUAGGGAAAACGACAAGGAAACCAUUUGGAAAAGGUAAAAGAGCUGAAUUUUCUCUGCAUUUAAUCCAUUCUAACGUCUGUGGUUCAAUAAAUGUGAGAAGAUGGCAAGGGGCUGUUUAUUUCAUCACUUUUAUAGAUGAUUAUACUCGAUUCGAAUAUGUCUAUUUGAUUUCUCAUAAAUCUAAAGCAUAAGUUAUUUCAUAAGGUUUAUGAACCUGGCAGAAAAUCAAUUAGUCGAGAAAAUAAAGGUAUUUAGAUCCGAUCGAGGUUGAGAAUAUUUAUCUGAUGAGUUCAGAAAAUUAUGUGGUGAAAAAGGAAUAGAAAGACAGUUGUCUAUUCCAAAUACUCCUCAACAAAAUGGUGUUGCAGAGAGAAGAAACAGAACCCUAUUGGAAAUGGUUAGGUCCAUGAUGGCGCAUGCUAACUUACAUAUCACUUUUUGGAGUGAUACGUUGUUAACUGCUGCCUAAAUACUUAACAAGGUGCCUUCCAAAUUAAUUAGUUCCACUCCAUAUGUGUUAUGGACAGGUAGAAAAUCGGACUUAAGUUUUCUUAAGCCAUGGGGUUGUGCUGUCUAUACUCAUGAGUCCUCUCACAAGUUUGGGAAGUUUGGUCCCAAAGGAAAGGAGUAUUUUCAUGAGAUACUCCGAACACUCGAAAGGGUAUAUGUUCAUAGGUGAGCAAGAAAGUGGGAGUAUAACUGAAUUUGAAUCACGGGAUGUCACAUUCUUAGAGGAUGAAUUUCCUAAGAAGGGCGAAAUAUGGGAAGAUUACUCACUAUUUGUAACUUUGGAUCAAGAUAAUGAUAUUAGUGGAGUUCGUCCAAGUGGGAGAAAUAUGAGAAGUGAUGAAUUCAAUUCAAUUCAUUCUCAAUUGCAACCACAUGAUGAGACAACGUUAUCAUUAUCUAAUCCAAGUGGGAGCAUAAUGGGGAAUGAUGUGCAAAGUGUACAAUCUCCCAUACGGCGAACAAGUCGCCAAAGUAUUCCCCGUCGACGUUUUGACAUUGAAGGGGAAACUUUUAUGAUUGCUCCGCAAGAUGAGGAUGAGCCAAGAAAUAUUAAUGAGGCUCUGAAUUGCCCUAGUAAGGAAAAAUGAAUUUAUGCAAUGAAAGAGGAGAUUAAGUCAAUGAAGUCAAACCAAGUUUGAAAUUGGUUGAUCUUCCAAUAGGACACAAAGCUAUUGGGAACAAGUGAGUUCUCAAAAUAAAGCGUAAAGCUGAUAGUUCGAUAUAAAGGCAUAAGGCUCGCCUUGUGGUGAAUGAGUAUAAUCAACAUGAAUGAAUUGAUUAUGAAGAAACAUUUUCUCCUGUAGUGAGAUUUACCUCGAUUCGCAUAAUUUUGGCAAUAGUGGUUAGUAUGGAUCUUGAGUUACAUCAAAUUGAUGUAAAAACUUCUUUCCUCAAUGGAGAAUUAGAGGAAGGAACAUAUAUGGAACAACAUGCUAGUUUCAUAGUGAAAGGCUAAGAAGAAAAUGUAUGUCGACUUUUGAGGUCGAUAUAUGGCCUUAAGUAGUCGUCAAGACAAUGGUAUAUACAAUUUCAUAAUGCCAUAAUAGAAUAUGAUUUUACAAUAAUAGAUGAGGAUCAUUGUAUAUGUAUAUAUUAAAAGAUCCAAGGAUCAAUUUGUGAUCAUAUCAUUAUAUGUUGAUGAUAUAUUAAUUGCCGGAAGCAAUAUGGAGCUUGUCAAUACUGUCAAAAGUUGGUUGUCUUCCAAUUUUGAGAUGAAUGAUAUGGUAUGAAUGGACUUAGACUUAGAACCGGAGAAGGAGAGUAAAUUUCCUGUAGGUAUGCAUCCCAUAGUGGGCGAACAUCCUCGUUCAAGCCCUUCAGGGACAGCCUUUUAGCAGAAAACCACUCAGCCCUUUAGUUCAGAGCCUAGAGACACUCAAAGAUGCCAGGAUGGAAACGUUUCUAACCUACCCAAGCUGCAUUUCUUGAAGGAUCCUACUAGGCUGGAGAAGAAGAGGAAUUUAGAAAGCCAUGGAGAGAUUUUGACAAAGCACACACUUUACUUCAAGGGACUCUGCCCAAAACAAUACACACUCCUUGCCUUAUAUAGGCAAUAAGAGGUAUGAGUACACACACAGGGACUUGGCUCACGGGUCCAGAUACAAACAAAGGCACCGAAAAUUUUCGGGAGGGAAUUAUUCGCACACUAUGAACAGUAACUGUACUGUGAAUAGUACCUUCCCUAGCCUAGUGCUACAGUAAAAGUGAAUAGUGAUUUGCUACAGUGAAAUUGUACGGACUCAACGGUCUCGUCCGUCACGAGCAUUGUAGCUACAAACUGAGUCAUUUGAGUUGUCUUCUAGGAGAUGUGCCUCGUAUUUCUGUUCAAGGGCUUCAAGGUCUUCAGGUGAGAGGAUUUGAUUCAGCCUUCGUGAUGAGGAUGCUUGUUCAUGAGCCCAAUGUGAUACUUCUUCUUCAGCCUAGUUUGUAUUUUCAUCUUCUUGAGGGUCAGGAAUUCUUGGCUGAGGCCAGUUGGAUGGCUGUGCAUAGAAAGAUGUGUCCAUGCUUUGGAAUUAUUCAUAGGGAUCCUGGGACAGAGGUCCUCCAAAGCGUGCAUAGGGGUUCUGGGUAGAUUGGACAAUGUCAUUUUCGCUUGUCAUUUCAGGCUCUUGGGACGAUGUGGCUUGUCUGUAUUGUCUGAGUGCUUCCUUAGCUUCUGGUGCUAGGUGAUAAUGAUCCCACGUAGUGGGUACAUUAUUCCAAACAUCUUCGAGAAUGGUCUUGUUUUCUUAGCAUAGGAUUCUUUGGAGUUCUCGAUAUUCAUGUUCACAAAGUCGAACAAAUCUAGGAUAUGAUUUGUAAAUCCGGGCUUCUCGGCUGUUCAAGUUAGGUUUAUAGGAUGUGGUUCCUAUUUCUAGUGGUGCAUCGAGAAUACUACCAUUAUUUCUGCAAAAAUUCCAUGGACGUCGGAAAAACAAGAUGGUGUGGACCUCAGGAUUAGGCGUCAUGGAUCUCAAUUCUUUUUCCAAGUCUUGUUUCCAACAUGUAGGAUGAUAGAACCGGUUUAGAAAAUCUAAAAGAUUUCUAUCACAUUCCUUUUCGAUAUUUCUUCCAAGUAGGAUUAUCCUUGUGAGGUUGACAAUGAAUCUUCUGGUUGGAAUUUCAAAAGCUAUUAGGUACUUAUUGGUUAAGUACCACAAUAACGUUUUGAGCUGUUUAAGGAAAUCAUAUUCCUUCCAGAUUAGAGGAUGAAUGAAUGGAUAAUUCAUAUUUAACCCAAAAGGAUAAAGAAUCGAACCUCCGUUGAAUCUGAAUAGGUCUAUGUGGCUUUGCCACAUGAGGUUCUCCAGGUUUUCAACAAGACUGUCGUUCUGGAUUUGCUGAAUAAUCUCCUGAGGGUAUUUCCAGCUUUGUGAAUCUUUGAUGUUCUCAAUUUUGUAUUUUACUCCAUGAUUGAGCAUAUGGAAAUCAGGCCUCUUGAUGUACAUGUUGAUCUCGGCUGGUGCUUUUGGCCUUGAUAAGAAGUCAGCAAGUACAUUCUUCUUUCCAGGAAUAUGCUUAGUUUCAAAGGAGUAUUUUGAGAACCAUUCAGCCCAUCGAAGCAGUUGGGAAUUUGGAAUCUAUUUCUGUUUAAACUUGGUCAUCUGAGGGAAAUAUGCCAUGUCCAAUUCCGUGGUGGCCGAUGAGAUGAAACUCAAACUUUUUUAUUCCAUUUUUUACUGCUAAGAUUUCUUUAAAAGUGGAAUGGUAAUGCAUUUCGGCUUGGGAAAACUUUCCACUUUUAUGAGCACAGAGGAGUCUCUUACGAUCAAUUUCUUCAAAAAGAAUAGCUGCCCAGUAUUCGUCACUGGCGUCAGUUUGGAGAAUCCUUUUGCCUGUUGAUGGUAUUUGUAAUGGUGGGAGAUUCUGCAUAAUCUCCUUUAGUUUAGCGACUGCUUUGGUCUAAGCUUUUCCCCAAGGUGGGGAAUUCUUCUUUAGCAUGGAUUGCAAAGGAAUUAGAAGCUUUGUAAUGUUUGGGAUAAAAACCCUGAGAUAAUUAAUUAUCCCAAGAAAUUGCUGAACUUGCUUUGUUGUGAAGUUGUCUUGAGGAAACUUUAAUAAUUCUUGAGCGAUAUGUGGCCCUGGGUAGUAUGUACCUUUGUUAAGGUGCAUACCAAGAAAUUCGAUUUCUGUCUAGGCAAUAUUCAUCUUCCUUUGAGAAAGCAUAAUACCAUGCUUUUUCAUGAUUUCUGCAAAUUGCUUAAGGAGUUGACAGUGUGACUGCUCAUCAGGACUGUAGAGUAGAAUAUCGUCAAUGUAUACGGCUACACUUGAUAAGAUCGGUUGGAAGAUACGACACAUGGCCUUUUGGAAAAGGGAUGGUGCUACCUUUAAGCCAAAAGGAAGAACUUUCCAUUGGAAGUGCUGGUUCGGGAUACAGAAUCCUGUUUUGGCUCUGUCUUCAGGAUGGAUGCCCAAUUGCCAAAAUCCGGCUUUGAGGUCGAAUUUGGAGUAGAUGUGGGCCUUGGUUAGACCACUAAAGAGAGAAUCUCUAGAUGGUAAAGGGAACUUAUCAUCUUGAAGGAAAAGAUUGAGAGGUUGAUAGUUGAUCACCAAUCUCAUUUUUCUUCUGUUUUGCUCGGCGUGCUUAUUGACGUAAAAGGCUUCACAAGCCCAUUGUGAAUCGGAGAUUUCAAUAAGGCCUUGUUGCAAUAGUUCCUAGCAUUCCCUUUGAGCUAAAACCAGAUGUUCUGGCUUCAUUCCCAUGUGGCUUGCCCUGGUUGGGUUUAUGUCUUCUUCUUUUUUUAAAGGAAGGCGAACAAAGAACUCUGGAUUUUCCCAUAAAGGAUGGGAACACUUUUGAGCGAAUUCUGCAUGGGAUUCUGAACAAGAUUCUAACAACUUUUGAAUAAUUGGAUCUAGUAGACUCAUCUGAAUGGAAAAAAGUCUCUGAAUAUUGAUGAAUUCAGAAAAUUGAUCUUUAUAUCUAAGACCUUUUCCAAGAAUAAUGCGAAGCUGAGAGAUUUGAGUCAUGAUGUCCCACCCAAUUAUCAGAUCUUUAUUGGGAAGGUUUGAUCCAAAGAUUUUUGCAGUUAUAGAACACUGAGGGAAGAACUGGACAAUUAUAGGAGUGGUUCUGACAUUUGUGGAGAAAGUGUCUCCCGAAGCAGAAUUGAAAUAUCGGGUGUAAGGAGUCUAGAAUUCUUCAGGAAGAACUUUGGUGUCUAAUAUUGAAUAACUUGCUCCUUUAUCAAUGAGAGCACUAACAGUGAUGGGUUUGGCAAACUUUGAAGUGAGAAUUUUUACAAGGAAAUGGGGACAGUGAGUUUGACUUGAAAAUAUGUCAAGGUUUGGUUCUGGGGAUGAUGAUGAUAUUUGGAAUAUAUCUUCAGACUCUGAGUCUGACUCAGUCUCACUGGAAGUUUGGUACAAGGGAAUGACACAAAGAGUUUGUUUAGAUGGCUCUUUAUCAGCAGAGAAUAAGGAUUAAAUAUCAUCAUUUUCAAGAGAAAUACCUGUUUCAUUCUCAAUAUGAUGAAUUAGAUGAUUCUGACCUUUUCUAGUUUGAGGACAGUUUUUGGCAAAAUGUCCUUUCUGAUUGCAAAUGUAGCAACGGUUUGAUUUUUUGUGGCUUGUGCGAUCCUUCCUUUUGCGUAGGUAUCGCCAUUUCUUCUUUUUCCGGAAAUGCUUGGAGCCAUGUUUGGAUUUUUUUAUCCAAAACUUCUUGUAGUGUUUCUUCUUCCGGGAAUACUUGCCACAAGUACUUCGAUGGUGAUGGACAUCAUGUUCAUUACUAUAAAGAUGACCAUGGUCAUUGUUUUUGGGAUCCCUUUUGUCAAUGUUCUCAUUGUACAAAUUCUCCUGACGAGGUAGAUCCUUUUGCAAGAUCUCCACCUCGACGGAAAAGGCCAAAGGAUAAGAUGUACCAAAGGUACUUAGACGGAGAUUCCUCCGUUGAUACUCUCGGUGAAUGUGACAAAUACCAAUUCAUGGUUUCUUAUACACCACCUCCACCACCAGAGUCUAGUACUACAUCCCAAGCCUUAUCAGAUCCACAAAAAACACCACCAUCUCCUCCCCAGAAGAAGUAAGCCCUCUCUCCAUUUUAUAAGCCAAUACUCAAAUGGGCUAAGAAGCACUCUUACCCCCUCGAAGUCCCGGAAGAAGCACCACCCACUUCUUCUAUCGCUAUGUUCUAGGAUACCGACUUUCCUCCUCUUGUCAAGGAAAGUUCUAAACUCUCGUCCCCUGCUGCAGAAGAGUUUAUUGAUCCCCAUGGCAGAUAUCGCCAUGUUCCUAAAAUCCCUACUCCCACUGAUGUGGAUGAACAUGGGAGGCAGAAAAAACCUCUGCCGCUGAAGCUGUUCUAAAUUGGCAAUCAGAGAUUCUGUUGGCACAAAACAAUGUCUUCAAGGCAAUUGACUCCAAAAUUGGAAACGUGCAGCAAGAUCUCCGAAGAUAUGAUGAAAGUACCAAAAAGAUACUUUCUGAAUUCCAGAAAAGGCUUCACGCCUUGGAAUCAGGACAACAUCUUGGGUACCAUUAUCUUGAAAGCCCAAAGCCAGAAAUAGAGAAGCUCAAGAGGCAAAUCUAGCUUCUUGAAGAAGGAAGGUUCAGACCGUUUGACCCUUUGGCACCUCCUGUUAAAACCGGGUACUUACCCCCACCGCCACAAACAUCCAUUUUUUCCACUAUUCCAACAAAUCCUUACAGAAGAGAACCGGACAUGGCAGAUAUACAGAAUCAUCUCAAAGCCCUGCUGAAGGAAAAGGGGAAAGAAAAAAUACCACCCACAGAAUCAAGUUCCAUUGUUAUAAGAGAAAGGCCAGAUCAGAUGAUGCUAUCAAAUCCAUUAGAAUCUUUUCUAAAAGAUUUAAGCACUCAGGAACCUGACCCUGUUAUCCAACAGCCUGAACAGCCUAAUCCAGUCAUUCCAGAAAGCAGAUUUUGCUCCCUGUAGAACAAACUUCUCGUGAUACUGAAUCAGAUUCUUCAGUAUCCCUCUCCUCUUCUUCAUCCUUUUCAAUUCCUACAGUUGACUCCCUCCCCAUUGCACCAGUAACUUCAUCAAUAUUCAUGGCUGACCCCCCAGAUGAUGAAAUGGAAUCAAACUAUUAUGAACCAGAAAUUGGUCAGACAAGCAAUUCUGCUCAACAUGUAUCCAUAGCAUCAAAACAAUUCUUCACCAUUGAUGAUAUUCCUUAUCACAAAUGGCCAAUAAGGCUUGAAGAAUUUCAUACUUGGUUGAAUACCCAGUCUAUCACUAACCAUGAUAUGGAUGACGUUCUAUAUAACUUUGUUACAAGGUUCAUAGGAAGCUUAAAACUCUGGUGGCAAUCAAUUUCAGAACAAGACCAGAUCCAUUUUCUGAUGUCACCAAAUUUCAGCCAUGCCAUCACUCUCUUAUAUCAUGUCUUUGUGGGAAAACCCGCUGAUCUCAUAGAGAUAAAAAGAAGAGAGUUUUUUGAGAGAAGAUGCUACUCCCUCCAAGAAAAACAUCUUGAUAAGCAUUAUCGAAUAAUGCUUCAGCUUUUUUAUCAAGUCGGAGCAGAUCCAAAUCUGAAGCAUGUUUUCCUUACUUCCAUCCCUAAAGAACUAUCCCAGAUGGUUGAAAGAUCUUUCUUCGGAAAACAAAGGAGAAUACAAGAUGUUCCCUUAGGCGAAAUACAGCAAGAAGUUCAUUUAUGUCUUGAAGAAUUGUGCCUAAAGCGCCAGAUGGUCCGUACUUACAUUACAGACGAUAAGCGCCUUGAAUCAGCUUGUUCUCGCCAGAAGUUAAAAAUCAAAUGUUCCAAGAAAGACUGUGAUGGUACUUGUGGCAAGUAUUCCCGAAAGAAGAAAUACUACAAGAAGUUUUGGAUAUAGAGUGACAAAGAUUGUUCCUGCAUUCAAAGUAGUUUGAACAGUACCAAUGCAAGCAUGCUGGUAUUGUAAAAAUCUGGUAUCUAACAACGCAAUUCUUGCCACGACUGGCAAACCUUUAUGACCAUGGAAAGUCAGGGCAAGACGAACAGCUCCAUAAUGGACAUGAGUAUAUCCCUGUUGAGCCCAUUGUCUGGGAAAUUCAGGAUGGAUCUGGAGAGUGACAAAGUACUCCUUUUCAGUAGCAGGAAUAAGAUGCUGGUCGAAUUUUGAGGACUGAACGUACUCCUUUACUUGCUUUGGGGUUUGGUGAAUAAGCUGGCGGAUGGAGCGGAUGGGUGAAAAUGACGAGUUUGGUUUGGCAAAAGCAGAAUAAGGGUUCAUAAGAGGGAGCUGGGUUUCAAAAAUUUUGGUUUCAUCGCUAAGAGAGACUUCAUAAAGAUAAUCUAUCUUAGAAGCAUUAGAAACACGAAAUUUUGGAGAUGUUGAAGUUGAAGAUGAGGGAGCAAGAGAAACUGGUGCUUCGAGAAUUUCUGGUUCUGUAGACAUGAUGAGAAGAGAUCUUCUCAGCUCUGGAUUCACUUGUCAAGCGCAUGGAAUGGAUAAUAUCAAAAACGAAGCCAUGGCUCUGAUACCAUGAAUGGACCUAGACUUAGAACCAGGGAAUGAGAGUAAAUUUCCUGUAGGUAUGCAUCCCACAGUGGGCGAACAUCCCCGUUCAAGCCCUUCAGGGACAGCCUUUUAGUAGAAAACCACUCAGCCCUUCACUCCUAUUGCAAAGGUGAGGGAUUGAGCCAUAGAUUGUGUCCAAGGACUCCACAAGAGAAGGAACAAAUGAAACAUGUUCCUUAUGCUAGUGCUGUUAGGAGCUUGAUGUACGCUAUGAUGUGUACAAGACCUGACAUAUGUUUUGCAGUUGGAAUGGUGAGUAGAUACCAAUCCAAUCUAGGUCAAGCGCAUUGGAAGGCCGUUAAGAUAAUACUGAGGUAUCUAAAGGGGACUGCUGAUUAUACGCUGAGUUAUUAGAGAAAGGAUCUGCGACUCUAAGGCUAUUUUGAUGCUGAUUGGAGAGGAGAUUUAGAUGAAAGAAAAUCUACCUCUGGGUUUGUUUUCUUACCGAAUAAUGGCACCAUAUGUUGGAGCAGUAAGAAACAAAAGUGUAUAGCCUUGUCCACGAUGGAAACUGAGUUCGUGGCAUUAUCAGCAGCAAUAUAAGAAGAUGUUUGGCUUAAGAGAUUAUUGGAUCAUUUAGGUGUUAUUAGAAGUGCUGCAGAUUCAUUGUUGGUUAACUGUGAUAGCCAAGCAGCAAAAGCAUACACCAAAGAUCCAAAAUAUCAUGGCAAGACCAAACAUAUAGAUACCAAGUAUAAUUUUGUCAAAGAUAUGGUUGCACGAAAUGAUGCAAACUUACAGUACAAAUCUACGCAUAGAAUGGUGGCAGAUCCUAUGACAAAGCCAAUACCUAGAGAUGUGUUUUGUGGCCAUAUGAAAUCUCUAGGAUUGCGUAGAGUCUGAUGUACUGGAUUGUAAUUUCCCUGAAGUGUUCACAUUUGAUGAAUUUGUGUUUUUCAUCAUUAAUGCCUAUGAAUCUUUAUUUGAUCUUUAUGCAUCUUAAUGCUUAGUGUAUUAUUUUAAGUUGAGAAAGUAUGUUUGACAGAUAUAAGAUUAGCCCACUCACAUGGGUAAUCGCCUCUAUUUACUGUGUGAUAAAUAGAGAUGAGACUGUUUUUAAGCUUAUUAUCUAGGUGAUAAUCGAGAGCUAAAGCUUAAAAUACUUAUGUUGCCUUAACUAAGUGUUAAGAUGAGGACAUAAUACUUACUAUGUCCGAAAGUAAAAUACCCCACAUAUUUUACUUUAUCUGUCUAUGAUGCCAGAUGUGAGUUCUAAUGAAUUUUGUGAAUGAGUAGAUACGUGAACUCAAGUUAGACAUUGGAUAUGUCUGAACUAUCAUCUGUACGGUAUUGAAGGUGUAGACAUACGCUCCAUGGGAAAUGAGUUAUUACCGUAAUACGUAUUUUAUACUACGUAUGCAUGAGACAACCAAUAAGAGUGGCAAAAGUUUGAUCUCAACUUUUAUGUCGUGUGAGACUCUUGAGGAAAAGAGUUCCUUAAUUUUUUAGUCCCCUCAUGACUCUUACUUAUUCUCAAUAUUUCUAUUUAGUGUUUGCUAUUUUAGGAUGUUGCCAAUGGUCAUGAGUUGAUUCAAUCUAAUGGGACAUUUCUAGAAAAGCAAGCUGAACCGAAAUUGAGAGUUUGAAGGAAAGAGGAAAAUCGAAUUUGGAGAAUCAUAUUGUAGUUUUGUAUUCACUAGUUAACCAAUUAUGACUGUCUUUGGGAUAAUCAUAAUUGUGAAUACUAUAUAUAUAUAAUAUCAUUGUUUAAAAGAGAUCAAGAGAGAUAUAAAUGUGAUCGAUCGAUCUAGGGUACUGCAUACUAAAUCUACUCAGAGUGUGAUGCCCAUUAUGAGCUGUUAUAUAUUCCUAACAGAUGUAUGGCAACGAGCUCUCAAAGUAUGCUGGUCGCAUGGAUUAUUCACUGGUAUGAAUGUUGAAGAGAGGUAAAGAGAAUUAUGUUCGGCCCACCAUGUGCGAGUGGGAGAUGAUGGUUUUAUGUGAUGGACUUAAGGCCCGUCCGCCCAUGUUAGGCCUAAAAGCCCGGCCCACAGGAUUAGGGCCCAUGGGUGAAGGGGUACGAUUCUUUGUUUUUUGGAGGGACGUAUAUAAGGGAGGAGAGAAAAGGAGAACGUACCUUUUGACAUUACGUAAGUUCCUUCCUCCCUCUCUCCCUCCAAAAAAAAGAACAGUAUGCAAAAGAGGCUACGUAGUCUUCCCUUCAAGGCGAAUUAGCGUCAUCGGAUCGAACAUGGCCAAUUUCUCUUCCUCAAUCUUCAGCAUUAGUGUUUAAUCUGUGGCUAACAAAAUACGCUCGAAUCCGUGGUGUGCUUUAGGAUCGGUGAUACGUGAUUUUCCCGGGCUUGUCUUUCGCAUUCGUUUUAGGGGUUCGAUUUAGUGUCGAAUCCAGUUUUUGGGGAUCCGUUAAUCCCAACAAAUGCAAUUGCUAGGAAACAUGCUUUGUCAAAUUUAUGUCAAGAAUUAAUAAUUAAUUGUGCAUUGAAUUUUAGGAUUUAGGUUUUAGAUAUAUGAAAAACAUAUUUAAUAUAUUUACGAAUCAAAUUGCGUUUGUCUUGUGUUAAAAAAAAAAUGCAAUCUCAUAUUGUGCAUUGUAAUAUAUCAUGUUUGUCGUUUCAACCGUUGCUUGUCAAGUACGUAAAUUUUCUCAACCAAAACAAGUAUGUGAAUUUUACUUUUGGGCAAUUGCUUAAAAGUAAGAAAAAUAUCAUUGAAAGGUAAAGAGAAAAAAAGCUUGAAAGUGGGAAUAGAAAGUGGGAGUAAGAUUCUCUCCCUCAUACAUGGUCAACAACAAAUAAUCAACCCACGCAUUUUAAUGCCUUCGAUGUUGCCAUUAUUGGUAAAUAAACUUCUUUAUCCCUGCGACGAUAAACGUACGAUGAACAUCUUAGAGGUAGAAGAGAGUUGGACUCAUGCUUUAGGAAGCAAGAAGCCAUUAACGGUAAACCCUCCAUCGACACAAAUGGUUUGCCCCGUAAUGUAAGAGGCCGCCGGCAAGCACAAGAAGGCCACCAACGACGAAACCUCCUUCGGCUCUCCGAUGUGACCGAGCGGUGUCCUUGCUAUCGCCUCCUCGUGGAAUUUCUCAUUGCCGAGUAGCUGCUAUGACGGAUGAGUAAUGUUAGAUAACGAUGGCAAAGGUGAUGAAGAUUUAUGGGGUGAACUAUUUUCGAAGAGGAUAGGGAAUUUUAAGUCUUGGUAAAUUAAAUUACAUGGUCGGUGAGUGGGCUGCCUAUGAAAUAAGGUGCAAUAGAGUUGCUUCUUAUGUUGUCUUUAGCCCAUUCGCAAGCCAGAUUCUUGGUCAACUGGUUCAUUGCUCCAGUCAAUGAGUUGAGAAAAUAAGAAUAUAACUUGGCUAAGCUUGAACCAACCCCAAAGUGAUGCUCGAAAGUCCACUUUAGGGUCACUCAUUACUGUGUUUUGCAGCCAAGGGAUUUGACUACGUAAGGCCCAGAUAUAUAGCCCACAGGCCUGAUUGGUUUGGUAAACCGAUCACUUGAGAAAAUUAGCAGUGAUUAGAGUCAUAAGUCCAUAAUUUGGAUGCCUUCUCCAUGACGGACGGUGAAGUGUUCGUCUUCAUCGAUAUCUCAGACAAUCUUUCUCAUCUCUUGCCUGCCCCUUGAUCUUGAGAAUCCAAGUGAAACUAUCCAUAGUGUUCAAUUUAUCACUAGAUUGAGAGAUCAACGUAAGUGUUAUUCUAUUGGUUGCUCGAGAAUUCACUUGCUCAUCUUGAAAAAUAGUACUUGAUAUUAUGGGAAAAUGCUACGUGAGAAAUUAAAUAUGAAAAAGAUAUCAUACAAAGAUAUAACAUCAUUGCCAUGCCAUAAUUUCGCAAUACAUUGACACUGUUCUAAUGAUAAAAUCAAUUGUCCCUACGACAAAAAUUCACGAAGUAACGUCUUACAGGCAAAAGAAAGUUGGGCUCAUGCUCCAAGAAACAAGAAGCCAUUCACGGUAAACCCUCCAUCGACACAAAUGGUCUGUCCCGUUACGUAAGAGGCUGUCGGCAUGCACAAGAAGGCCACCAAUGAUGACACCUCCUUGGCUCUCCAAUGUGGCCGAGCGGCGUCCUUGCUAUCACCUCGUCAUGGGACUUUUCGUUGCUAACUGACUACGAUAACAUGAGUUCAUGUCAUAUGAUGAUGACGAACCUGAUCAAUAUCUAUGUAGUGAUAUGUUCUCAAGCACGAGAGAAACUUUUCAGCCUUAAGAGAUAAUCUUACAGGCUCGGCUUGUGGGGUCAUUAUGUGCCAAGGUGCAAUAGAGUUGCCUCUUAUAUUGUCCUUAGCCCAUUCACAUGCCAAAUUCUUGGUUAAUUGGUUCAUUGCUCCUAACAAUCAACUUGGAGAAAAAAAGAGAUGAAUUUUUUUAGCUCCAUAUGAAAAAAGUUCAGAUAGUUAGUUAUGAUAAUAUUAACUUACCUUUGGUUGUCGAGUAAAUUGGUCCAACAUUCAUCGAAACAAUGCCGAUAAAUGAAAAAUUUUCCGCUGAACAUUCCAUGGUCAGCUUUACUCUGUUGGUUUGUUGAUCUACCACACAAACUGCUCCCAUUAAAAUGAAAACCAAGUACCAAAUCCAUCGAAAGAAAUGCACAAAUUACGACCUGUUAUUGAUGUUGUAAUCGGAUCCACAGGAUCAGACUUACUAGGAAGUUGAGCCUCCCGUCGAAGAGGGAGGACACAGUAAGCAUCGGCUUCUCUCGCUCCGAUCUUAAGGAAAAAUCACAAGUCGAACCCGUGACCUGGACACCCUUUCUCUUCCAAUCUUUCACCGGCUGCAUUUCUGGAACAGGUAUACACGGUGGCCCCAAGCCUUGCUGUCUUCUCGACAAUGGCAUGCCUAAUCAUGGUACAACAAUAUGACUAUUAAGCCUUAGUACAUGUCAUACCUAGGAUUGUUAUGAACAGGCCAUUUUAGCGACGCAAUCCUCGAAGUAAUUGACCUCUCUGUUAUGUCCCUCGUCAUUUUCAUCGAUCGAGUUUUAGAUGGCGAUUAUAUAGAUUUUCUAGCUUAUUAUUUAUAGAAUCCGACAUUACUGAAUUUAGAAGAACCUACUAUCUCUUGGGGCAAGCCUAGCUGAAAACGAUUUUUUCAAGCCCAGACAGGCUUGAGCCGGGCUACUAAACCCAUUUGUGCUGUUACUAGUUAAACAUUAUAUGAGGGAUGUAAUGGCUGAAAAUAGCAUCAAAGGCAUUUUAACCUGUGGCUCCAUGGUGGUGCUUUGCAGAAGCUUUAUGAUGUAUAUGAUACAGCCUGCACAUUCUCAGAAGUUAUGUACGCAAAAUUUCGGGCCUAAACCAGAAUAGCCCGGAUUGGACUUGAUCGAAGUUAUUUAGCCGGGCUAGUAUAUAAAGGACUGAUCACCCGGCCAAGAAAUUCUAGGCCAUAUUUGUUCUCAUAGGACCAAAAAAGGUACCUCGGCGUUCGGACUGCCUAAUCCGUACACAAUUCUACCGUCACACACAUUAUUAUGAAGAAAUAAGAUGCCAUAAUUGACGGUUUUCAGAUGCCUAAUUCAUCAUGUUUGUUCCUCCAACCUAAACCAAAAUAGUCAAUUGAUUAUCAAAAUCAACAAUGCAAAAGAAUGAGGUGUUUGAGUGAGAGAGAGAUCCGAUUCCAUUAGUUCCACCGGUGACGAGAGCGCUCAUUCCGUGAAGCGACCACCUGUUGUCGUUGUUGCGGCUGCCCCAUCUCCUUGCCGUUCCACUCCCAUCAGGAGCCAUUCUCUUUCUUUCUAAUAUCUGAUUUCUUUCCCUCAUCUCACUUGUUUUCUUUUUGGGUCUAUGCGACUUUCUAACUAUCCACUGUGUCAUGUAUAAGUACGGGGGAAUUGGGUUCGGCGGCGAUUCCGUGUGGCCUGAUAUUAGGGUCCAGGUGGAUGAAGUCGUACUGCCAUUUGCAGCGUGAGAUCGACAGAAGAUAAAGCAUAAAAUUACCACGUGACCGACGAUGGCCAAAAAGUGACGGAAGCUCGCCGUGUGUAUCCGGCGCUCUCACAUGGAUCGAAUGCAUGCGUGCAAUGCUGGCUCAGACAUUGGGCUUGAGAACGAAUGCAUGCGUGCAAUGCUGGCUCAGACAUUGGGCUUGAGAACACUUGGGCUAGGGAGAAUGGCGAAGCCUGCAGGACGCCACAGUCCCACUGCACAGCACGGCCCACACGCCCGACUGGUUUGGUGAACUGAUCGCUUUGAGAAGACCAGAAGCAAUUGGAGUCCUUAGUCCAAUAUCGACUGAGAUCUUACAUAAUGCUACUCGAGAAAUUAAAAAUCAAAAGACAUCACGCGAGAGAGGACACAAUUAUAAUACCAUCACCUCACAAUGCAUUGAAAUCGUUCUAACCCUUUGUGUAACUGAUAAAUAGUGACCAUAUAAAUCUACCAAUCAAACUUAUUAUUAUUAUUUUUUUUUGGCAUUAUCAUGUUAACUAAAGAUGAACCGGUGUCUAUGGCACGAUUAUAAUAGUACCACAUACAAUUAUUUCAGCCAAAUCUUUUCUAAGUUUGAAAGCGGUAUUGUGAACAGUCUUUCAGAAAACAUUCUGAGAUAAGAAAAUAAAAACUCUGUAUUUCACUAAUAUAUUGUUUUUUUUUGGUUGAAAAUCUUUGAUGUUUUGCAAAGAUCUAUCAUUAAAACGUAUUUCUGAUAUACGUUAGCGAGAUGAGUGGAUAAUGUUUUCCUUUAAUUUCCUAAUAAUUGGAACGUCAUUAAAAAGUUCAAGAAAAUGCUUAUUUAAAUGGAUAAAUUCUGUUGAAGCUACCUAGAAAAAAAAACAUAGCUUUUUAUAUGAUAAAUUUAUUGGACCGUGUUUGUCAUGUCAAUCAUUGCUUGUCAAGUACAUAUAUUUUUAAAAAAACAAAACACAUACAUAUUUAAAUUUAGGCAAUGGCAUAAACAUAAGAAAAANNNNNNNNNNNNNNNNNNNNNNNNNNNNNNNNNNNNNNNNNNNNNNNNNNNNNNNNNNNNNNNNNNNNNNNNNNNNNNNNNNNNNNNNNNNNNNNNNNNNNNNNNNNNNNNNNNNNNNNNNNNNNNNNNNNNNNNNNNNNNNNNNNNNNNNNNNNNNNNNNNNNNNNNNNNNNNNNNNNNNNNNNNNNNNNNNNNNNNNNNNNNNNNNNNNNNNNNNNNNNNNNNNNNNNNNNNNNNNNNNNNNNNNNNNNNNNUUCUGUUCAUUUUGUUCCAGGUCUUUCUUCUUCAAGCACAUGGUCGCGCAAAUCAGCACCAAGUUCAUCCACCCUCUCUCGGAAUGAACCCGUCAUGUUGCAGAACACGAACCCUCCGUAGCUCAUCCCCACCACAUUCAUCUUUUCACCGCCAAUUGCCUCCAGCUGCACCCAAUACUUUCUCCUCCAUUAGAACAAUUGCACACUAGGCUUGGAAUUGCUCCGUCCACUCAGGCCUCAUCGUGCAAGAGUCUACAAAGAAGACAAAGUCAGGGACGUACACGUUUAAGUAGGCAGCCAGCGGGGAGACGAAGUCAUUACACUCGGCACUAUCACAUUCCGUUGGCGCCAAUGCCGGGGAGGAGGUGGAGGAGGAGGUUGGGCCUUAUUUGUGAUAUUGGCGAGAUUUGCACUCCUAUUCAAAGAAAGGAGAGAUUGUAAGCAAAUCUGUAUAUUGACAGUUUUCUUAUUUUUUGGAGUUUCCUAUUUUUUGGUUUACUUGUUUCCUUUGUUGUAGCAACCCUUGUGUACAAAUUGCAAAAGAACGUUAUGACAAAAAAAUAAGAGAAUUGAGAGUUUUGUCCAAGGCCAUAGGCACAUUGCUAAACCUCAUAAUUCUUGUGUUCUCUUUUGUGAUUGCUUUAUUAAAACUCAACAUGGUAUCAAAGCAUGUUUGAUUCAAUCUGUGAUUUUUUGGGUUUGGUUUUUUUGCACAUCUAAUUGUCUUGAUCUACUUAUGUUCGGGUCCGUUCCUAUUCUCCGACGAUCUGUGUUCUUUGGUUAGUGCUUGUUCCUCUCUUUGUUGCUGUCAUAUCCUUGUUAUUACUACCAACAUGCCAUGGAGGGGUCAACGAAGUCCGAAGAUGCAUCCAACACAACAAAGGUGCAUGAUACAAACAACCAAUGAUUGACUAUGUUGUUGCUAAACGAAAGAAACUACCUUCCUUUGUCAUGAGCUAUAACAAUUGCUCUUAGGGGGUAGAUUGAAGCUUGGUCACAUCAAUGAGAAGAUUAGAGCACCUCCCACAACAAAUCUCAGCUUUGAUGAAUGGCAAGCGAAUGACCAUAAUGUAAUGUCUUGGAUAUUCAAUUCCAUGGGACCGGUGAUCUACAAGAUAUUUGCAUACUAGCCAAGGCAUUGUGAGAUUCGAUAUAUGAGAUGUAUGGUCAAGCCAAAAAUGCACCUUGGAUCUUUGAGACGUAGCAAGGAGUCGUUUGUUCUAAGCAAGGCGCAACACAAUCUUUCACUGAAAACCUGGGAAAAANNNNNNNNNNNNNNNNNNNNNNNNNNNNNNNNNNNNNNNNNNNNNNNNNNNNNNNNNNNNNNNNNNNNNNNNNNNNNNNNNNNNNNNNNNNNNNNNNNNNCAAUUGGAUGAGCUUCAUCAAUAUAAAUCUGCAACUAGAAUGUGAUGGAUUAUGUCAUCUAGAAGAGCAAGAUAAAAUCUUCAACUGUUAGCAAGCAUUAAGCCUGAAUUUGAGGAUGUCAAACGUCAAAUUCUUAGGAGUCCUCAAUUGCCCACUUUCAAUGAAGUUUAUGCCAUAACGCAAUGUGAGGAAACAAGGAGACAUGUCAUGCCUUCAGCUCCAAUUGCAUCAGGAGCGCUUGGUGAACAAUUGACCCACUAUGCUACCAACACAACAUGAAGCAAGGAGACUUCACUGCUCGAUAUGUCAAAGGAAAAUUUAAGAAACCAGCACGGUUCCAUUGUGACUAUUGCAAUCACAAUGGCCAUUCCAAAAAGAGGUGCUGGUUCUUCAUCCACAUUUGUGUAUUUUCAAAGACAGGGGUUCAAAAACUAAGGUGGCAGUCCAGAACAAUUAAUGAUUUUUAAUCCAAGUUGGAGGAUUUGUCACAACAAGUUUUGCAAUUAUUUCAGAUACAUGGCAAUGGAACGAACGCUUCUAGCACUAAAACUGGAAAUUGGGCUAUUGAUAUUGCUAGUAUGAGUACCUAGAGGGGGGUGAAUAGGUAUAUAAAAGAUUUUUCUUCAGUAAUUGCACAAUACUAGACAGUUGAUGGAUUUAAGAUAAACGAUAAUCAAAGUAAGACUGAGAGAAGAAAAAAUUGAACACGUGGUUUAUAGUGGUUCAGCUUAUAUCAAGCCUACGUCCACUCUUCUUCACUGACAGCCUAUUGGCUGGAUUCCACUAUGAACAAAAGAGAAGUUACAGCACAGCUUUGCCUUGAUUCUACAGUGUAGAUGUUCUAUCACACCUCUUCAAGAUUUCUCACAAAUAUAGACUCUCUUUUGUAUACAAGUAUUCGCUCAAAGGAAUUGUCUAAACAAAAAGGAGCUUUAGACUUUGGAAUUCUUCUAUCGCGCACACCUUGAACAACUAAGACCGUCUUCCUUAUAUACUCCUUUAUGCCAUCAUACCCGUUGGCACUUACCAAAGGAAUUCCUCCAAUCUACCCGUUGGACGGAAUCAAUUAGGAAGAUUGUUCGAGCUAUUAAAGGAAUGUGUCGAUAGCCCAUCAAUCAUGUUCGCCCAUACAAUCAGGAUCUCGGUUUCCAUAAGUAGAACCUUCCAAUAAUAUUUUGUUAUAUUUAUUGAUGACAAAUCCUGAGCUACAUGGCUUUGUUUGCUUAAAUCCAAAAGUGAAGUGAUGACCGUGUCUCAAGAUUUUUGCAAUUUGGUGAAAAAUCACUUUUAACACUAUAGUGAAAAUUCUUCGUAUAGACAACAUAACUAAAUAUACCAAUCAAUCUUUUCAAGUGUUCCUACGUGGCCUGAGAGUCAUCCAUUAGACCUCCUGCAUGGGAACUUCAUAGCAGAAUGGAGUUGUAGAAAGGAAAUACAGGCACCUGCUUGAGGUUACCCGAACAUUGUUAUUCUUAGGAAAUUUACCCAAGACAUAUUGGGCAGAUGUAGUCCUUACUAGCUGCUACUUAAUCAAUCGUUUGCCUAGUAAGGUGUUGGGUAUGAAGUUUCAAUUGAAAGUUAGUAUGGCCCAAAAUUUGGUAUCUCUCACCUAAGAAUUUUCGGAUGUGUGUGUCAUGUGCAUUCUCGAUAUGGUGACAAGCCGGAUCCACGAGCUUGAAAGUGUGUGUUUGUAGGAUACUCGAAUGUCAAGAAGGGAUACAAAUGCUAUGAACCAAGUACUGGACGUGUUUAUAUAUCUCGUGAUGUUUACUUCAAAGAUGCUUACAUGUUUUUUUUUUUUUUUUUUUUUCGGGAAUCAAAUUCAUGGGAGCAAGGUGACUAUUCUAAAUUUUUGCUUCCUGUCCUACCUAUCGAGAAUUCAAUGUUGGAUCAAGAGGAAGUUCCAAUAGUGGCUAUUCAAGGGAGUCAGCCAAUCCCCAAUGUCAUUGCCAUUCUUGAUACAUUUGCCAUUACACAAUGCAGCUGAUUUGGAAGUUAGGGCUGAAUAUGCAGAGAGAUAGCUCCAGUAGAUGUNNNNNNNNNNNNNNNNNNNNNNNNNNNNNNNNNNNNNNNNNNNNNNNNNNNNNNNNNNNNNNNNNNNNNNNNNNNNNNNNNNNNNNNNNNNNNNNNNNNNNNNNNNNNNNNNNNNNNNNNNNNNNNNNNNNNNNNNNNNNNNNNNNNNNNNNNNNNNNNNNNNNNNNNNNNNNNNNNNNNNNNNNNNNNNNNNNNNNNNNNNNNNNNNNNNNNNNNNNNNNNNNNNNNNNNNNNNNNNNNNNNNNNNNNNNNNNNNNNNNNNNNNNNNNNNNNNNNNGUUGCCAAAUGGGAAAAAAGACAAGUUGGAUGCUGGUGGAAUUACAAGAUCAAAUACAAUACUAAUGGUUUGGUUGAGAGUACAAAGCUCGCUUGUCGCAAAAGGGUAUACUCAAACCUAUAGGAUAGACUACAAGGAAACAUUUGCUCUUGUAGUGAAAAAGAACAUUGUUCGUGUCCUUCUAUCUAUGGCAAUUAACUGUAGGUGGCCAUUGUUUCAGAUGGAUGUGAAGAAUGCCUUCCUCCAAGGAGGAAGAUGUUUAUAUGGAUAUCCCUCUAGACAUCCCUUAGAGAAUAAUAAGGGAAUGGUUUUCAAAUUGAAGAAGGCAAUAUAUGGUCCCAAGCAGUGGCCUAGAGCAUGGUAUGGCAAAUUGAGUUCCGCACUUGAUAGGUUUGGUUUCAAAAGGAGCAUGGCUAAUUCUUCAAUGUUUACUAAAGCAAUUGGUGAAGGUAUUGUUGUUAUUCUAAUUUAUGUUGAUGAUCUUAUUAUUACUAGUAGUAACUUAAUAGGUAUUGUAGAACUUAACAGUUGUUGAGCAAGGAGUUUGACAUUAAAGAUCUUGGAAAAUUGAGGUAUUUUUUGGGCAUAAAGGUAGCAAAUUCUAACAAAUGUAUGUUCUUGACUCAAAGGAAAUGUAUCCUAAAUCUAUUGAAGGAGAUUGGUAAGUCGGGUGUUUAACCUGCUAGCACUCCUAUGGAUUACAACAAUAAGAUUGUGUCUAAGGAAACACCAUUACAUGAUAUUGGGCAAUUUUAGCGUUUGAUAGGGAGAUUGAUUUACCUAACUAUUACUAAACCUGACAUUACUUAUUUUGUCAGCUAUGUGAGCCAUUUAUGCAAAAACCUACACAAGGACAUAUGGAGUUGUUAAACUAGCUCCUUAUAUCUAAAAGCUUCUCUAGCAAGACGAACUUUGUUGAAGAAUAAUGGUAUUGUGGGAUUUACUAAUGCUGAUUGGGCUAGGAACCUCAUGGAUAGAAAAUCUACCACGGGUUUUUGUACCUUUGUUGGUGGAAAUAUUGUUACUUGGAAGAGUAAGAAGCAAACAGUUGUGGUUAGAUCUAACAUAAAGGCUGAGUACCAAGCCAUGGCUACCGCCACUAGUGAGUUUGUAUGGCUUCAUCUAUUACUUUAAAAAUUGGGUCGUGAUGCCAUGUCUAAGCCUAUGAAGCUAUCCUAUGAAAAUUAGGCAACAAUACACAUUGCUUCAAAUCCAGUCUUCAUGAUAGGACCAAACACAUAGAUGUCGAUUGUCACUUUAUAAGGGAAAAGGUUCAAGACAAGAUGGUACAUACACCAUAUAUUCGUAGUAAGGAUCAACUUGCUGAUGUGUUCACCAAAGCUUUUAUCCAAUGGAGUAUUUCAAGAUAUGAUGAACAAGUUGAUCUCUAAUGAUGUAUUCGCUCCAACUUGAAGAGAAGUAUUGGUGAUAUUGGGGGGAUUUGCGCUCCUAUUCAAGGAAAAGAGAGAUUGUAGGCAAAUUUGUAUAUUGAUAGUUUUCCUAUUUUUUGGGUUUGCUUGUUUCCUUUGUUGUAGCAACUUUGUGUACAAAUUGCAGAAGAAUGUCAUGACAAAAAAAUAAGAGAGUUGAGAGUUUGUCCAAGGACAUAGGCACAUUGCUAAACCUCGUAAUCCUUGUGUUCUUUAUUGUGAUUGACUUACUAAAAUUCAACAGGCCUCACCGGCUUGGGACUCUUGGGGACACAACAUCGCAUCACCAUGCCGUCAUUGAGGUCGCCAGGUUAGUGACGGUGGACUUGACACCAGACAGCGAGAAGGAGAAGUGGAGGCACUAGUCCCUCGUUGCCGUGAAGCUAUGACACUUGGUCAUUGGACUGAACCUUAAAGCUCAAUGCUCUUUUUGCGACCGCUUCCCUCCUCCUCUAGAAGCAGAGCAAUGGUGGUGAUGCGAGAGGCGGGUGGUGAUGCCGAUUUACAAAGACAUU